rnacentral:lncRNA from 1 species
UCCAAGAUUAGUUGUUCCUUUCAGAUACCUGAAGAUUCUCUUAACUGCAGUUAAAUGAGAUUCUCUAGGAUCUGAUUGAAAUCUUGCACACAAGCAUACACUGAAUAAAAUAUCAGGUCUAGAUGCAGUGAGGUAUAACAGAGAACCAAUCAUACCUCUGUAUAGCUUCUGGUCUACUACUGUUCCAGUAUCUUCUUUGCUUAAAGUGCAGGUUGGAUGCAUUGGAGUGUUCAUCACUUUACAAUCUUCUAGCUUGAACUUCUUCAGAAGCUCCUUUGUAUAUUUUGUUUGAUGAACAUAUACUCCUUCUUUACUUUGGUUGAUUUGAAUUCCCAGAAAGAAUUUCAAUUCUUCCAUCAUACUCAUUUCAAAUUCAUCCUGCAUUAACUUAGAAAAUUCUUUGCAAAGAGAUGCAUUAGUAGAACCAAAUAUUAUAUCAUCAACAUAUAUUUGCACAAUCAAAAUAUCUUUCUUAAGAGUCCUUCUGAAGAGUGUUGUGUCAACUUGUCCUCUUUCAAAAUCAUUUUUAAUUAAGAAAUUACUUAGUCUAUCAUACCAAGCUCUGGGAGCUUGUUUCAAGCCAUAUAGUGAUUUCUUAAGUUUAUAAACAUGGUCAGGAUGCUUAAGAUCCUCAAACCCAGGAGGUUGUUUAACAUACACUUCUUCUUCAAUGACACCAUUAAGAAAGGCACUUUUGACAUCCAUUUGAUAUAAUAUUAUGCCAUGAUUAAUUGCGUAGGAUAGAAGUAACCUGAUUGCUUCCAAUCUUGCAACUGGAGCAAAUGUUUCAGUGUAAUCAAUGCCUUCUUGUUGACUGUAGCCUUGAGCAACAAGUCUGGCUUUGUUUCUGGUUACUUCUCCUUGUUCAUUCAGCUUGUUUCUGAAUACCCAUUUUGUUCCAAUAAUGUUUUUCUGAAAAGGUUUGGGUACCAGAUCCCACACAUCAUUCCUUUGGAAUUGAUUUAGCUCUUCUUGCAUAGCUAAUAUCCAUCCAUCAUCUGUGAGAGCUUCUUCAACAGUUUUAGGCUCAAUUAUUGAAAGCAGUCCUAUUAAUGAUUCUUCUUGUCUAAAAUGUGAUCUUGUUCUUCUAGGACUAUCUUUGCUUCCAAUGAUUAGCUCCUCAGGAUGUGAAGAUUUGUGCUUGAAUUUAGGUUGAAUAACCUGCUGAGUGUUAUCUUGAAAGUCCUCAGAAGCAAUUUCAUUCUGUACUUUUGGGCUAUGUUCUGCUUCUGAAUUAGACUCAGCUUCUGGAGUGAUUUCAGUUUCUGGACUAGAUUCAACUUCUGUAUACUUUUCAGAUUCAGAAGGUUGAUCAGAUUCUGAUGCAUCUUCAGAAUCAGUUGUACCUGCAUUACUUUCACUUUGCUCUGAAGUUUUACUUUCAGGCUCUCUAUCAUCAAAUUUUACAUGCAUAGAUUCUUCAACACAUUGUGUUUCUGAAUUAUACACUCUGUAUGCCUUUGACCUUUCAGAGUAACCUAAAAAUAUUCCUCUUUGAGCCUUGACAUCAAAUUUCUUCAGAUAGUCUUUAGUGUUUAAGAUGUAACAAGUACAUCCAAACUGAUGAAAGUAAGAGAUAUUGGGUCUUCUUCCUUUAAAGAGUUCAUAUGCUAUUUUCUCCAACAUAGGUCUGAUAUAGAUCCUAUUUUGAAUAUAACAUGAAGUAUUGACUGCUUCUGCCCAAAAAUGUUUAGCUAAGUUGUUUUCAUGGAUCAUGGUUCUGGCCAUUUCUUGUAAGGUUCUGUUCUUUCUUUCUACAACCCCAUUUUGUUGUGGAGUUCUACGAGAAGAAAACUCAUGGUGAAUCCCAUGUUUUUCACAAAAAAGUUCAAAUGGCUCAUUUUCAAAUUCUCCACCAUGAUCACUUCUGACUUUCAAAAUUUUCAAUUCUUUUUCAGAUUGUAUUUGAGUGCAGAAGCUGCUAAACACUUCACAUGCAUAGUCUUUACUUUUAAUGAAUUUUACCCAAGUCCAUCUGCUGUAAUCAUCAACAAUGACUAAUCCAUAUUUACUUCCAUAUAAAGAUGCAGUGUUAACUGGACCAAAAAGAUCAAUAUGGAGUAAUUCUAAGGGUCUGGAGGUUGAUACAAUGUCUUUAGAUUUGAAAGAAUUUUUCACAAUUUUCCCUUUCUGACAUGCACCACAAAGUGCAUCUGAAUGAUAAUCAAUGUUAGGCAAUCCUUUGACCAGUUGUAACUUGCUAAUUUUAGAAAUUAAUCUCCAAUUAGCAUGUCCCAACCUUUUAUGCCAUACCCAUUUUUUAUCAUUCAUUGACAGAAGGCAAACUACCUUCUGAUCAGCCAGAUCAGAGAAAUUUAUUUUAUAGACAUUCUCAACUCUCUUUCCCUUGAAUGUAAUGGAUUUGUCAUCCUUGUUGACUAGUGUGCAGUUGGUCUUACUGAACGUUACAUCAUACCCAUUGUCACAAAAUUGACUAAUGCUCAAUAGGUUAUGCUUCAUACCAUCUACUAGCCACACAUUAUUAAUUGAGAUGGAGGAAUUACCAAUAGUACCUGUACCAAUGAUCUUUCCAGUUUGGUUGCCACCAAACUUCACUUCUCCUCCAUCUUUCAUUGUAAGGGUAAGGAACAAAGCUUUCUCUCCAGUCAUGUGCCUUGAACAUCCGCUGUCUAGGUACCAUGACCUUUGUUUCUCUCUUGCCCUUAAGCACACAUCAUUUUCAUCUUCUGAAUCUGAUUCAGCUUCUGAUACUGUUUCUGAUGAUACUGCUGCCACUAACCCAACGGCUGCCUUAGCAUCAUCAUCAGCUUCUUCUUUAUCAGAACCAGAUUCACUAUCCAAAUCUUCCCAGGUCGCCAUCAAGCUCUUUUUGAUUUGCUUUCUGAAUUUACUGGAGUUGAAGCUUGAUUUCUUGGAUUUGCCUUUAAACUUCUCCUUCUGAAGAUCAGGGCAAUCAGCAAUGAAAUGACCAGGCUUCUUACAAUUGAAGCAUCCCUUCUGAUCUUCUUUCUUGAAGUUCUUGUAGCUACCUCUCUUGCUCAAAAAUUUCUUCUGCUUCCUUGCCAGAUACUCAAGCUUGUUGGACAGCAUAGCCAUCUUUACAGAUUGAUCUUCAUCAGAAUCUCCAUCAGGUGAUUCUUCUUCAGAUUCACUGGCUUUGUAGGCUUUGGAAGACUUUGAGGUCUUUCCUUUAGAUGGUAAAGCAAUGGAUUUACUCUUCUUAGAGGUUUCAUGCUCAUUUAGACUCAUUUCAUGCACUUUGAGUGAGCUAACAAGAUCUUCAACACUUAAAGUAUUUAGAUCCUUAGCUUCCUCAAUGGCAGUUACUUUGGGUCUCCAUCUUGAAGGUAGGCUUCUCAAAAUCUUACUAACAUGAUCAGAAGAAACAUAGCUUUUCUUCAGUAUUUGCAAUCCAGAAACUAAAGUUUGAAAUCUUGAGUACAUUUCUUCUAUACUCUCAUCAUCCUUCAUUCUGAAAAGUUCAUACUGAUGAACUAGCAUCAAAGCUUUAGCCUCUUUUACUUUCUUGCUGCCUUCAAAGUUUGCACAAAGAGAAGCAAACAUAGCUUUCGCAGUAGAUUUGUCACUCAUUUUCAUGUAUUCGGUGCGAGGUAUAGAAGCCACAAUGAUUCCUCUUAUCUUGUGGUGUUUCUUAUAAAGCUUCUUCUGAGCAGGAGUAUGUAUUCUUCUGUCUAUAGCAGCUCCUUCUUCAUCCAAAUCCAGAUCAUCAACUCCAUCUUCCAGUAUAUCCCAUAGCUCUUCAUCCAAUCCCAUGAUAAAGCUGUACAUAUUAGUUUUCCACCAUGAAAACUCUUCUGGAUCUCCAUUAAACUUUGGAGCUUUUCCAGAGUCUGUUUUCUUGUCAGCAGUAUCAUAGUCAUGCUUGACACUUGUGUAUUUUGUAGUAACUGAUUCCUCAUCUCCAGACAUGUUUUUCUAAUAGAUCUUGAACUGUAACACGGUUAAGUGCUGUGAUAACAGAGCAAGCUCUGAUACCAAUUGAAGGUGAAAAACACAAGAAGGGGGGGGGGGGGGGGGGUUGAAUUGUGUUUUCUUUUUCUCUUAAAAAGGGAUUCUUCUUCUGAUAAAACUUCAGAAGCAGUUUGAUUGCUUCUGAUGAAAUGAUCAGAGUCAGAUUGCAGCGGAAAAGAACAGAGCAGAGAAAAGAAAGACAAAGACACAAGCAGUUAUCCUGGUUCCUUCCACAACACGGAAGUAGUCCAGUCCCCCUUGCACUUCCAAGGAGAUUUCACUAUAAUCACAAAGAUUACAACUGCUCAAUACUUUCUAAGUAUGAGACUUCACAAAAAUGCUCAAGCACACACGCAAGAGUCUUCCAAUGCUCAAGCACUAAGCAAGAGACUUCUAAUGCUCAAGCACGCAGGCAAGAGACUUCUAAUCAAACAAAAAUACAGAGAAUUGAGUUUGAAUUGAACACUUGAUAUACAAUCAGUGGUGUUCACAAUGCAAUACAGAAAAGACUCUAGACUUUGAAUUUCUAAGAUGUAUCAAAUCAGUGCAGAAAUUCAGUGUGCUUUGUAGAAUCAAAUUGACAGAGUUUUGGCGCUUUUGAACUUAUGUAUCUCUCUCUGUUAUCUUCAAGUCUUCACUCCUUUAUAUAGAGGCGUGAAAGAGACGUUGAGAUAAUCAGCACGUCUAAAGAGUCGUUUGAAAUCCUUUGAUUAUCCACCAGUGAUCCUUUGCCUGAUUUGGGUGUAGUCCUUUGAAGAAUAAACUUCAAAUUCAUUCCCAUCUUGAGUGUACAAUUCUGCAGGCAUGGCUGUUGUUUUGUCUUGUAGCGUAGACAGAAAACAGAGUAGUGGAGGUAGUGGUUGUACACUUGUACUUUGUCAACUCUAUUAACGAGAGACAAGAGCUCAGUGCUAUCCAUAUAUCCGUUGAUACCUCCCUUUCAAUUCUUCGUUCUUCUUUGAUAAGACUGAAUUGAAAAUCAGCUACUUUGAAUCUUCAGUUUGAUUAAAGGAUCAAAUGUAGCUUCUGGUGAAGAUAUUGCUUCUGAUGAAAACUUUUGCUUCUGAUGACUUUCUGCUUCUGAUGACGUCAUCUCUUCAGGAGCAGUUUAGCUUCAGGAGCAGUUUUCUUCAGAUGCUCAGAAUUUCUUUUUCUUUCCAUUGUUCUUCCAAGACCUAUUGAAAUAACUUGAGUAGCCUUUGGUCCUGUACACUUGAACAAUUAUUAGUAAUAACCAAUUGACAAUUUUUAAUACCUUGUUAUCAUCAAAACUUAAUAAGGUUCAUUGUGAAACACAUUUUGUUCCAACACCAUGUCUCUCUGUCACCAACCUCCAGCACCACUUCCCCAGCAAUUCUAAGUUAAAUUCCCUAAUUCUCCUCACCCUCAAACCACCAACCUCAUUAUCCAAACAAAUAGUAUUCCAAUGAAUCCAAGAAAUUUUCCUAUUAUCCUCACAUCCUCCAAAAAAAAAAAACAAAUAAAAAGAUAUUCGAUAGAGGAGCUUGUUGUUGGCGCCUUUUUGGAACUGCGGCGGAUUCUGCGCAACCUCCAACAAAGCUACCAAGGUACUCAACUUCUCUAACUCGCCCCGCAGUGUUGUCACCUCUUCACGAAGCUCGUGGAUUUCUUGCUCGAUCGUAUCCAUUUCCUUUUUAGUGUUUGCAUGAGUAUUGUAGGUGCGAGUUGGCUUAGGGUGAGGACGUCGAGCCACUUUCGAGGCAGAUUGACCUUUUGUAUGAAAGAGCAAUAUGUGAGACUCAGACCUUUGAAACUAUGAAUUCAUAAUGAUGCAUGAUUUUUAUGAAAAAAGGACAAUUUUAUUUAUUUUUGAAGGACUUUCAAAGCAUUUGUGAACAUCACAGAGAACCUUGUUUUAUUUAACAAUUUUUUAGGUUUACAAUCAGUUCCUUUUUUAGAAGCAAAAAAAAAAACGCUAGGAAAAGAAGUCCCUAACAAAAGCUAAAGUCUAGUUAAGACUUUUGAAGAUGUAUUUCUUGGUGCUCCUUUUUACAAGGUCCAUAUAUGUGAUGUUUACAAGACGACUUAUCUAAGUCCUUCGAUAUUAAUGAGAAUUUUUUUUGAAUGCAUGCAUGCAUGAUAAUGCAACAAAAACAUUGAAAACAUGGUUUAUGGUUUAGGCCCAUGGUGAUGGACUCAAGGGUAAGAGCCCCCAUAUGGUAAGGACUAUGGUUUCAUUUGUUGCUGCAUUAUGGGUUCUACCAAGUUCCCAAAGUCAUUGACCCUUUCCGGAUAUCAUUGGCUUACAAGACUGACUUCUGGUCCAACAAUAUUCGCAAGAGAAUCUAUGCAGCUCGACUGAUCUCAUUUUCUUUUUCUGGAUCUUCGAGAUGUACGUUGUGAAAUGAAUCUUAGACAUUUUCAUGAAUAAAUUUUUUUGCACUAAAUCAAUAUCCUUUUGUAAAAUAGGGCAGUUUUGUAAAAUAUUCGCAGAUUGUACAUGCUCAAGAAUAGGGAUCAAAUCCCAUUUAAUAUUUUCGCCAAUCAUCGCAUAUGUUGCAUUAAACAAAGACAUAUGGAAUGAAGUGCUUACCUUGGUUUGGUCAACUUGCUUUUCGACUUCACUUCCUUUCUCCAUAGUUUAAUCCACAUUAAUCAAUUGCUGCUUCAUGUGAUCAACUGGUUUCGACGUGAUGUAUGUGUCCAUGUUGACCACUUUCUUUGGUACAUCUUGCUACAAAAGUUUCUUUGAUGUUGGCUAAUCUUUAUCGAAAGGUUUCUUCCUGAGAACAAUUGUUUGUGGGGAUGGAUUCAUUUGCAAGUCGAAACGGAACGACCUAUGACAUGGUAAUGAGACCAACAUUCAAGGAGUCGGUCGUAAGUUACUUGUCAUAAAAAUUGUAUCCAUAUCCAUUAAAAUUCUUGCAUAGUGACCGAAAAGUUUGUUCUGUUUGUAUCGUCUAGAUUUAAUAGUGUGCCAACGACACUAGCAAUUUUGAAGAGCAUCUGAUCCUACCAAUAUUCUUGUGGCAAAUAAAUUAAACGGAUCCAAACCCGUACAUGAGUUUGACAUUGAGUAAUAAGAUUAAAGUCCUCUUGCCGUUGCAAUAUUUGAUGGACACCCGAUUUAAGAUUCAUAGUGUUCCUAGCUCAUACUAAACAUAAAUCUUCAUAGUUUGAAAACUUAAAAUCAUAAAACCCACGUGUGAGAGAAAUCAUUUCCCAUCGCCAUGUAGUAUUUCACAGCUUGGAAAGCUUAAGCAUCAAAUCCUUCACGCUAUACGACUUAUCUCCUUUGUGACUCUAAAAUGAAAAGCUAUUAGAAAUAAUUUUUCACAAUUUUAUUUUUUUUUUGAAAUGUUAACUAGUGCCUUCGGGGCACUAGUUAAAGACUACAAGUGGUAAGUAUUUAUGAAAAUGUGUGUAUUAAUUGCAUUGGAAAUUGAAAUAUUUGAUUUUUUUUAAAAUAAUUGUUUAUAUUAGUAUGCUUAAAGAGUGACCCGAAGGCACUCGUUAACAAGACUCUCCAAAACAAGGAGAUAACACGUGUACAAACUAAAACUUUUUUUUAAAUGAUUUUUAUGGUUAAUAUGUUGGAACAAAAUGUGUUUAACACUACCCUUUAGAGUUUUGAUGAUAACAAGGUAUUAAAAAUUGUCAAUUGGAUAUGCUAAUAUUUGUUCAACUGUGCAGGACCAUAGACAAAAAUUUAAUGUCUCUUUGAAGCUUAGAUUCUGGAAGAACAAAUGAGAGCAAUGGAAUCAACAAGAUGGAAGCUUGAAGCAUCUGAAGAAAAGAGGUUCUGAAGUCAAGUGCUCCUGAAGUGAUGAUGUCAUCAGAAGCAAGUUCAUUAGAAGCACCUCAUCAAAAGCAUUAUCACCAGAAGCAGUUUUUCAUCAGAAGCUGAAGAUCAUCAGAAGAUGAGAGAAUUAAAGCUUCAAAGGCUGUUCAAAAUAUUUAAUCAUCAGAAGUCAAAAGAGUGAAGCAACGGCUAAUUCAAAAGGAUUUGAAUGCAUUAGAUGUUUGUUCUUUGAAGAGCGUUGAAAAAGGACAAUUGUACGAAGUGUACAACCACUACUCUCUUUGUGUCUACAUCAGGACAAGAAUAACAGCUAUGCCUGCAACGAUGUUCCUCCAUACUUGGAAUGGAUUUGAAAUUGAUCCUUCAUAGUAUAAUAACCAAAUCGGGAAAAAGAUCAUUGGUGAUUUGAUCAAGCUUCAAACGACUCUUUUUGAUGUGUUGGGAAUUCACAACGUCUCUUUCACACCUCUAUAUAAAGGAGUGAAGACUUAGAGAAUGACAAGACUCAUACAACAAUUUACAAGUGUCAAAACUCUGUCAAAAUUGUUCUGCAUCAAAAGUUCACUUAGAAUUUCUUAACAACUUUCAUAUCUUAGAAAUUCUAUAGUCUUAAGAGUCUGUAUCUGAUUUGUAUUGUGAAUACCACUAAUUGUAUAUCAAGUGUUCAACCUCAAACAUAUUUAUUUGCAAUUCUAUUUGAAUAGAAGUCUCUUGCUUUUGUGCUUGAGUAUAGAAAGUCUCUUGAUUUAGUUCUUGAGCAUAGGAAAUCUCUUUCAGUCUUGAGUAGUUUGAAGUCUCUUGGUAGUUUUAGCAGUGAGCAAUUGUAAUCAAAUAUUACAUUUUUAGUGGACUCUCCUUGGAAGUGCAAGAGGAAUAUGACUACUUCCGGUUUGUGGAAGGAACCUCUAUAAUUGCUUUGUGUCUUUCUUCUCUCUCUCUCUCUCUCUCUCUCUCUCUCUCUCUCUCUAUCUUUUUAUCCGCUGCAUUUAGAAUCUGAACAUCACUUCAAAAGCUGAAUUCUAUCUGCUUCUGAUCAGUGACUUCAGUAGGAAAAAACUAACACAAUUCAACCCCUCCACUACUCUCUUUGUGUCUACAUCAGGACAAGAAUAACAGCUAUGCCUGCAACGAUGUUCCUCCAUACUUGGAAUGGAUUUGAAAUUGAUCCUUCAUAGUAUAAUAACCAAAUCGGGAAAAAGAUCAUUGGUGAUUUGAUCAAGCUUCAAACGACUCUUUUUGAUGUGUUGGGAAUUCACAACGUCUCUUUCACACCUCUAUAUAAAGGAGUGAAGACUUAGAGAAUGACAAGACUCAUACAACAAUUUACAAGUGUCAAAACUCUGUCAAAAUUGUUCUGCAUCAAAAGUUCACUUAGAAUUUCUUAACAACUUUCAUAUCUUAGAAAUUCUAUAGUCUUAAGAGUCUGUAUCUGAUUUGUAUUGUGAAUACCACUAAUUGUAUAUCAAGUGUUCAACCUCAAACAUAUUUAUUUGCAAUUCUAUUUGAAUAGAAGUCUCUUGCUUUUGUGCUUGAGUAUAGAAAGUCUCUUGAUUUAGUUCUUGAGCAUAGGAAAUCUCUUGCAGUCUUGAGUAGUUUGAAGUCUCUUGGUAGUUUUAGCAGUGAGCAAUUGUAAUCAAAUAUUACAUUUUUAGUGGACUCUCCUUGGAAGUGCAAGAGGAAUAUGACUACUUCCGGUUUGUGGAAGGAACCUCUAUAAUUGCUUUGUGUCUUUCUUCUCUCUCUCUCUCUCUCUCUCUCUCUCUCUCUCUCUCUAUCUAUCUAUCUUUUUAUCCGCUGCAUUUAGAAUCUGAACAUCACUUCAAAAGCUGAAUUCUAUCUGCUUCUGAUCAGUGACUUCAGUAGGAAAAAACUAACACAAUUCAACCCCCCCCCCCCCCCCCUCCGGGUGUGUUUUUCUCACCUUCAUAAUAAACAAACAAAAAUAUCUUCAAAUCUUUAUUAAGAUCUCAAAAAAAAUCUCUAGAUUCUCUGCAUAUAAAAUCUGCUGUUUUUUUAAAAGUUAAAGCAAACACAUCCUAAAUCUAAAAUAACUGUUGCACAUGGGAAUCAUUUUUUCAAGACAGCGCUCUGCCCCAGCAAAGCGUUCUCUCCAAACAAAAGAUGAUCAACUUUUUUGAAAUCAUACGUGAAAUAUAGAAUUAUAAUGAAGAAUUCAUCUAUAUGAUCGUAAAGUGUCUUUAUUUAUUAUAGUAGGUAAUUAUGAUUACACUAUUGUUUUCCAUUUCUUCUAUGAGUUCAUGAUGACAACAUAGUUGCAUAAUAUAACAAUACAUAUGUUUUUUUCAUUGAAAUUGACAACUUAAUCUAUAUCGUACUCAGAAGUGCAUUGACAAGUUAAAUUAAUGCACUUCAGAGUUAGAUCAGUUGGACACAUAUCUGGUGGACAUUCAGGGGUAAAUAGGCAUGGAGGAGCAUCUGGGAGGCCUAACAAGAACAAAAUAAAUGUUAAUAUAGAUGAUGGAAUAUUAUAUAUAAGUUAAAUUAUAAUUUUGAAAAUGAUUUAAAACAUUACUCACUUCCAUUGAUUGCGAUCAUAAAUAGGGAAACAAAGAUGAGUAAAGUAUAAAAGAAAUAAAGGAUUCGAGCCAUAAUUUUUGCGCUUUUGCAUGUAAUAAAUGAAAAAUAUUUUGAUCUUUAUAAACAAAAUGUAAUGCUUUGUAAACUUCAAUGAAAUAGUUUUUAACCCCUAGGAGGUGCAAGAAGCCAUUCAAAAAAUUGAAAUAAUUGGUAAAUGUUUCUAUAUUACAUCAAUCUGUCUUGUUUAUCUCUUUACAAGUUCAACUGAUCACUUAGUUUUAGUAAAAUAUUAUUUAAAAAUUUUAAUAAUCAUCAAAGAUCAUUCAUAUUUUUUUUAUUAAACUUCUAAUUUAUUUUUUAUUUCUCUUUUACCUUUUUAUGGUAAAGAAGAGACACAUAAAAAUAUUUGGGUAGAAAUUUAAACAUUAUUGACGAAUGAUGAAAAACUCUUUGGGUAGAAAUCAUUCACCGAUCAGGUGACAAUACUUACUUAUUCCUGAGAAACUAAAAUAACCAUAUUAUAAUGUUAUUUUAUUGACAAUUUUCCAUACUUGUAACACAUGUUAGAAAUAAGACCACACUCGAUUGGUACGUUAGUUAGAAAUAUAUUCUAUGUUAAGGGAUAUUGUAUAUUAUAUUUUUGGGGCCGGAGUUUAAACCCAUACAUUUUAUUUUUUCACAAUUAAAUUGUGUGAGCUCUAACCAUUAAGUUAUUUAAUAAAAAAAGACUACUUGACAAAAAAAAAUUAUAAACAGGAUUUUAUCAGCCAAUUUUGCUAAUAAAAAAUUGGCUCGCUCUAAGGAAAUUCACAAUUAUCAAAGCGGCUAAUGAUUAAACUAGGUGAGAUUGAUGGAACCCAUGCGUCGUUUUCAUGUUAAAAAGUAUCUUUAGGGUAUCAUUUAAGCAUCCAAAAGUAGUAGUUUUUAUAUUGGAAAUUAUGUAGCAUGACUUUUAUGUUUAUUUGAUUUAUUUUUAAGACAAAUUUUUUUUGUAGAUUCCUUAAGCAAUACCCUCAAAAUAUUUGUUAGCGAGACCUUUCAAAUUGAAGUAAAAAUAACAGUGACAAAAGAGGGUUAUAAUUGUGACUAUUUAAAAAUUGGAUCUUUCACUUUGUAAAAAAAAUUUCUCAAUUUAAAACAAUACACUUAACUGUAUGUGUAGUUUGAUUUGCAUGUACCGAGAGUAAAGAGUAUAGUUGCAGAGUUAACACACAAGAACUAUCAUGGUUAUUUAGUUGAAGAGUAUAGUCCUCACAACCGUGAGAUUUCACUAUUGUAUUUAGAUAACCUUUUCCAAUCUUCCCUCACACCUUAUAUCACUCUUUUUCUUACACCUUAGUUUAUCAUAGCCUUUUCAGACUACUAACACUACUAUCACUUAAUCCUUUUUUACAACCUAAAUAAGAUUAAAGGCGUUUUAAAAAAAAAAAAAAACUGAUAGGAGUUUGACUAUGAUCUCAAUUAGUGUAUUUUGUGUAUGAUUCUAAAUUACACUUUGAAUGAUGUUAAAACAUCUAUACUAUACGAGCGAAAAGAUAGAAACUUCCAAAUAAUUGGAUCUCUCUCCAAUCUUCUCUUCUUGCAUCCUAAAGUUCUUCUCUUCUAGCUCAUCUCUUCUCUCAGAUAUUCCUUAUUAGUUGUAAACCUAAUUCUCCAAAGACUACAAUCUAUUUAUAUUUUCUUGUUUGGCCUUGGUUCUCUCACAUCAUUUAAUGGACUAAGUUUCUAUCAUAUUUAUUUUCGACAAAUAAAACUUUACUCGGUAAUUCGACUUAAACCUCCUAUUUACCCAUACACCUCUAUUCUCUAAAUUUCUAGUAAUUAACUAACCCAUAAAUUCAACCACGUUAAAUAAAAGUAAUAAACACAUAAAUUUCUAAAUACUACUAAUAUUACUAAUAUCACAUAAAAAUUAUAACAUUAAUAAACUAGUAAUAAAAAUUGGGAUGUUACACAUUUAGAGCAAUAAUUUCCUUGUGCUCAAAACUUUUUAGGGCUGGCCUUUUGCAGUGAGAUUCAACAUUAAGAUUCGCCAAUUGCACAUGCUUAAGAAUAGGGAUCGAAUCCCCGUUAGUAUUUUCCCCAAUCAUCUCAUCUGUUGCAUUAACCAAAGGCAUAUGCAAUGAAGUUCUUACCACGGUGAGGUCAACUUGCUUUGCGACUUCACUCCCUUUCUACACGGUUUCAUCCACAUUAAUCAAUCGAUGCUCAAUGUGAUCAACUGGUUUCAACGUGUUGGUUGUGUCCAAGUUGACCCUUUUCUUUAGUACAUAUUGCUAUAAAAGUUUCUUUGAUGCUGGUAAUCUUUAUCCAAAGGUUUCUUUCUGAGAACAAUUGUCUUAUGGGGAUGGAUCCAUUUAAAAGUUGAAACGGAAUGACCUAUGAUAAAUCGUAUCCAUAUCCAUUAAAAUUCUUGCAUAGUGAUCGAAAAGUUUGUUAUGUGUUGGAUCGUCUAGAUUUAAUGGUGUUGCAAUGACACUGGCAAUUUUAAAGUGUGUCUGAUCAUGCCAAUAUUCCUGUGGCAAAUCAAUUAAAUGGAUCCAAACUUAUGCAUGAGUUUGACGUUGAGUAAUAUGAUUAAAGUCCUUCUGCCAUUCAGAUAUUUGAAGGACAGCCAAACAUAAAUCUCUGUAGUUUGAAAACUUGAAAUUACAAAACCCACGUUUGAGAUAAAUUAUUUUUCACCUGUAGUAUUCCACAACUUGGAAAGCUUAAGCUUCAGUCAUUCGCACAGGGGCGGAUCUAGAUAUGAUGGUUUGAUGUGGCAAAAUUAUAAAAGAAUUUUUUUAGUGUACAUUUGAUUUAUAAUAUAAUAGCAAAGUAGCUAAAGCAAGUUUGUUACAUAUCUAUGUCUCAGGUUCAAAUCUCAUCCACCACACUUUUGAUGAUUUUCUCCUUAAAAUAUUAAAAAAAAGUUUAAAUAGAUCACACAUUAAUUUGUGAAACAUUGUCAAAUUAUGUGAUAUAUAUUAUGUUUUCGGUCUACUAUAUUAACUAAAAAAAUUUGGCUGUAAUCUGGUGUGGCAGCUGCCACACCAUGCCUAACACUAGAUCCGCCCAUGUUCGCGCUAUACAUCUUAUCUCCUUUGUUUAGAACCAAUCGACCAUGAAUUCUCAUAUGCAUAAUGGGUAAUCUUGAUACAUAAAGAAUCUAAAGUAUUAAUCUGAUUUUGAGAAUCCAUAUUGCUCAGCCAAUUGAAAAAUUGAUACACACGAAAAGCAAAACGAAAUUGUUCACCCAAAACGAUCAAAGAAAGAUCACGUAACCAAGUAACAAACAUCAAUCAUUAUUGUAACAAAACAAUGGAUUCCCCAAUUUCAGUAGACUAAAGCCUGUUUGUUUCAGAUAUUUUUUUCUAAAAAAAACACUUUUGUUAUUUUUAAGUGUUUGUUUAAGAUUUUAAAAAAAUAAUCUAUUUUGACUCUAAAAUGAAAGGCUAUUAGGAUUAAUUUUUCACAAAUAUUUUUUCUUCAAAAACAAAGAGGUAACAUGUGCAAGUAAAAUGAAGAAUUCAUCUGCAUAGUCAUAUAGUGUCUUUAUUUAUUAUAGUAGGUAAUUAUGAUUAAACCAUAAUAUUAUUGUUAUGCAUUUCUUCUGAGUUCAUGAUGGCAAUAUAGUUGCAUAAUAUAACAAUACAUAUGAUCUUUUCAUUGAAAUUGACAACUUAAUCUAAAUCGUACUCAGCAGUGCAUUGACAAGUUAAAUUAAUGCACUUCGCAAAUAGAUCAGUUGGACACAGAUCUGGUGGACAUUCAUUGCUAAAAAGGCAUGGAAGAACAUCAGGGAUGCCUAAUAAGAAUAAAAUAAAUGUUAGUACAUAUGAUGUAAUAUUAUAUAAAAAUUAAAGGGCUAAAUAAAUUUUUACAUGCAUGUUGUUGUUUGAAGAAGUUAAAACGAAUUUAGAUUAAUCAAAAGAUCAACACUUCCAGCACGAGGUGUGUGCUUGGAAGAAAUGGUUAAAUCAAAAGAUAACAAGGUCAACUUAAGAACAUUAUAAGAAACUUCAAAAAUGUUGAACGAACUUUAUUUUUAGUCCUCAUAAAAAAAAUUGACAUAUUUUUAACACAUAAUAAACUAAAUAUUAAUUUUUCUAAACAUCAAAUUUUGACCUAGAAUUCAAAUUUUGAACUAAUAUUUCUCAGAGGAACUUUGUAUUAUUAUGUUCUAAAUAAAUAUGUCAAGAAUUAUUUAAAUGUUUAAAAAUUUAAGUAUAAUUAAUCAAAUUUUAAUUUUACAAGGACUAAAAUUUUAUGUUCUAAAUUUUUUUAUUAAGACCAAAACAUGUCACUUUUCUUAUGAUGACUAAAAACAAAAUUAACUAUAUAUAUAAGGAUAAAAAACUUAUUUAACCCUAAGUUAAAUUAAAAAGCUAAAAAUGAUAUGAAACGUUACUCACUUUGGUUGGUUGCGACCAUAAAUAGAGAAACAAAGAUGAGUAAACCAUAAAAGAAACAUAGAAUUCGAGCCAUACUUUUUUUUUUUCUCUUUUGCAUGUAAUAAAUGGAAAACAUUUUGAUCAAUUUAUACAAAAAAUAAUGUUUUGUGUACUUCAAUGAAAUAGGUUUUAACCCUUAAAGGUUACAAGAAGGCGUUCAAAAAAUUGAAAUUAUUGGUAAAUAUUUCGAUAUUACAUCAAUUUGUCAUGUUUAUCUCUUUGCAAUUUCAAUUAAUCACUUAACUUUAGUAAAUAGAUCAUAAAAAAUCUUAAUAAUCAUCAAAGAUCAUUAUACUUUUUAUUAAACUUUUAAUAUAUGGUUUCUGUUAGUUUUUUUUUUUUUUUUUUUUUUUGCAUUUUCCCUGUUGUUUCCGUGGUGGUUGUGAUGCGUGAUGGUGAGGUGUGGUGAUGUGGUGGUGGUGAUGAUGUGUGGUGGUGGUGGUGAUUUGGUUUGAUGUGGUGGUGGUUUUGCGUGGCUGUAUGUGGGGGUUGACUUUGUGUGGUUUAGAUGGGUGGUCAUGGAUAAUUUUGGACUGGGAUUUGGUGACAGAAUGCUUUGCGGACGGGAUCUAUAAAAGGGGGUGGUUGGUGUUUUUUUUUUUACAGUAAAACAACUUCACUCAAUAGAAUAAGCAACAAUCAUUAUAAACAGAUUGAGACACCUGAAUUUGGGCAUUCCCCAUCCAUUGUCGAAAAUCAAAGUUGAGAGAAAAACUAACACAAACAUAGUUGAUCAUACACAGAGAUUGUUCAAAAGCCAAAAGGACAUAACCAAACCAAGAACGAAAAACUAGCAUCAGUUCAUUCAACCUCUUACAAACUCGGAACCUAGCAAUAUAAGAAUGAGAAUCCAAUCUCUUUUUCAAUCCAGUUACAGAUAGUAUCUUUGACUUGUGUUCGCACAUUUUGACUAUCAUUGGUCUCAACAUUGUCCAAUUUUUCCAGAUGUUUGAUAGCUAGUGGAUGAGUAAAGAAGUUGUUGCAAUGGGAGUCAGCCUCGUAAGCUUUCUUAGUAUAAAUGGGUUGCCAACAUACAUUGGCUACUUUGUUCCAAAAGACAUAACCCUUUUGGGGAUUUUUGUCAAACAACAAAAAUGCAUCCUUAAACUAGAAAAAACAGAGACAUAAACUAGAACAUAAACAAACAGCAGAAGCCAUAUCUGAAGGGCCCAAGGAUUACAAACCGUAAACACUACAUGGUGGCUUUGGAGGUGGUCGAACGAGUGCCAAGAGAUAAAGUGUAGCAGAAGUAAUGGACUCAUCAAUUUUGUCAAGCUUCUCGUAGUUCGGCGGUGGUGGCUCGGGUGGAGGUCGUGUAGUCAGGAGAAGAAAAGCAUGUUUGGUUGUCGGUGACAAGAGAAGAUCACCUCUUAGGGUCGAAUCCACUAACAGAUCUAGACUUUUGUUGUGGUUGUCGCAAGCAGGAAAGAUGGAGGUUGUGGAUGAUUUUUGUGGAAGGGUCAUGGUGGUAUGGGAAGGCAUAUGACUGAGGCAUGAUGGCAGUGGGGUGGUUAUUGAGAAAUAUGGCCUUGAAAGCAAAGGGGAGGGACUAGGAACACCUAGGUGUGGCGACCCAUAUGGUCGGGAAAGGCAGAUCACGAAGAUCUGGGUUGAUUUGCCGUCGUUGAACCAUGGUGAAACCCUAGUUUGGGUGACUGAAAGCAUGUUAAGUUUAGAUAGAGAUGGUAUGCUUUCUCUCUAAAAACACAUAAGGGGGUGGUUGGUGUUGCUUAGGUGAGGAGGUGGGUGUUUUAGUGGUAGUUGUGUAGGUGAUUUCUUUUAGAGGCCGCCUCUGUUAUUCAGGUCCAUUUUCGUCGUCGCUAGCUCUUGUUUGAGUUUUAGGGUGUUAAGGUGUUUAGGGUGCUUUGAGGGUGGGUGUCCUUCCAGAUGAGAAUUUUUUCCUUUUUGAUUGAUGUUUGCACCACCACAAAUCAUGUGAUUUGUGUUACAUAUUGUGUGCUGGAUUUUGGUGGGCUAAUCACUUUUGCUUCGAGAUUGGUAGUUGGAGUCUAGCUACAAUCUUGUUUGCCUGGCUAUGGUGUUUCUUUGGUGGACCAGGGGUGAUGGGUUCCCGUAUCAUUUGGUCAUGAAGUCUGGUGGGACGAUCUCUUUUGAUUCGACAUCGGAAAUCAAUUUUUUUUUCAAGUUUUUUUUGGGCUUUUUUUGUGUUCUUUCGGUGGGAAGGAGGUUGAGAGGUGGUGGAUGUUGGGUGAACUUUAGAAUAGUGGCUCAACUUUGGUGAUGAGGAUGGGUGUUUCAUUUAGAGGGGAGUUAUUUUGGGAUGAGUAGUGGCGAUGGGUGGUUAUGGAUAUCGUUUUCCAAUGGUCUGUUUUAGGUGGUGAUGCUUAUUUUGGUGGGUGUUGAAGGUAGAGUUUGGCUAGGUGUUGUGUGUUGGGAUGUCUUUUAUGGUGUUCAUUUUUGUGCGUUCCGCCUUUAUACGGCGCCUUUGAUUUGUAUUCUUUGAAUCACUGAUCAUUGUUCGUCUUGAGCAGGGAUUAGGUUUUUAAAUAAAAUUUGUUGUUCCAAACAAAAUAAUGGUAGAUAAGAGACACUAAAAAUAUUUGGGUAGAAAUUUAAACAUUGCUGACGAAUGAUAAACAAAAUCUUUGGGUAGAAAUUAUUCACCAACAGGUGAAAAUAUUUAUUAUUGACAAUUUUAUGAGAUCAAAGACAAAAAAAAUAUUGUAACAUCCUAAGUAGAUUCAUAAAAAACUGUCGGGAGUCGAGCGCCGCAACCCAAACUCAUCCUCAUCUCACUAAAUUCCUUCAAUUGAACAGAUCAUCAUCACUUGUUAGUCCUUAUGUGAUUUCAAGUGUGUGUUUGGUUUGUUUUCUUUGAGCUUUUGUUGCCUUUUUCAUUGAUAUGUGUUUCAAUUCAUAUCCACUUUUUGCAUAUGUUUGGAUAUGAUGUGUUAAAAUAGGUUACUCCUUUGUUUGUUUAUCGGUGCUUGUUCAUAAAGAAGCAUUAUUCGUCUUUCAGAAAUUAAAAAUGUCCUUAACCUGUUUGAUAAACUGCUCAUAAAGAAAUAGCUUUGUUUUUCCCUUUUAAUAAGGAGUAUUGAUUUUCCCUUUUAAUAAGGAGUACUUUUUCCCUUUCAAUAACGAGUUUUUGUGGGCUAUUAGAGACAAUGAGUUGCAUAUCUUGGAAUUGUCGUGGUCUAGGAAAUCCACGGAUGGUUUGCACUUUCAAAAAGCUUUUACGAGAUAAAAAUCCCACUUGUGUAUUUCUCUCAGAAACUAAGAAAAAAGAUUUUGAGAUGAAUAAGUUUUGAAAUAUACAAGGUUUAUAUGGGGUUGUUGUAGUUAAUUGUACUGGAGAAGGUAAAAGGCGUGUUGGCGGUCUUGCAAUGUUUUGAAAGGAAGAGGUUGAAGUGGAGGUAUUAUCCAUUUCCUCUAAUCAUAUUGAUGUCUUAAUUACUAUCGAGGAUGGAGAUGAGAAUUGGAGGCUUACUGGCAUAUAUGGUUUUCCAGAAUCUCAAAUGAAGUAUAAAACAUGUGAGUUAACUAAUCAGUUAGCACUGAUGGAAAGCACUGAUAAGGGGCUUUAAUGGGUGAUUUCAAUCCGAUUCUUUCACAUGAUGAGAAGGAAGGUGGGAAUUUUGGCAGCUCUCAAAUAAUUUCAAUGUUUCGAGACACCGUCCAAAAUCACAAUCUUUCUGACUUCGGCUUUGAGGGUGACAAAUUUACCUAGCAUAAUAGACAAGAUGGUGCUUAUAAUAGUAAGGCUCGCCUUGAUAGGAUGAUAGCUACACCACCCUAGUCCUCGUUUUAUCAUUUGGCCUCAGUGGUGCACUUAACAAGGUAUGCUUGAAAUCAUUUGCCUUUGUGGUUGCGACUUUCUUCUAGGAAGCCAAAGAAAAAACAAAAUUUUCUUAAACUACAACGAUUUGAAGAAUGUUGGUUGCAUGAUAGUGGAACUUUGGAAGCAGUUACAGAUGCUUGGGAGAUGGAAGGGGAUUUUAUGCCUGAUAAAAGCAAUGAUAUUGUGAACGAUCUUUGUAAAUGGAGUAAGGAUCAUUUUGGCGAUGUUCCCAACCAGAUAAAAAUUACUCAAGAGAAGUUGGAUAAUCUUAAUAAACAAUCACACCAAGAGGGAGUAAUGUCUGAAAUUGGAUAAGUGGAGGCUAGAUUGAAUGAUUUACUGGAAAGUGAGAAAAUUUGGUAAGCGCAGAGGUUUCGUGCUUUGUGGUUAGAAUAUGGAGAUAAAAAUACAAAGUUUUUUCAUUAAAAAAAAAAACGUCUCAAAGAAAAUCUAGAAAUUGGGUGGAUACUAUUUGAGAUGAUCAUGUGGAGAAAUUUGAUGAUGAGGAAGACAUUUCUAGAGUUUUUAAUAAUUUCUUUCAGGAUCUUUUCUCCACCAGUCACCCUGAAAGAAUUUCUGAAAUUGUGGAAGUAGUCAAAGAUAGACUGUCGGAUUCUAUAUGUAACAUAUUGGAAAGAGAGUUUACAGAAAAUGAAGUUUUCUUAGCCGCAAAUAAUUUAAAGCCUCAUGUUGUCCCAGGUCCUCACGGAAUGCCAUCUUUAUUUUACCAAUAGAUUUGUGAAUAAAAUAUUCUAACUGUAUUUUAUAAUCAUAUAAAACCAUAAAUACAAGAAUCUUCAAUACUCUUUGAGGCCAACAGAAACUACACUUAAACAUAAUCCACUUCUUGAAACCAUAAAUACAAAACUUUUCAAUCCUUUGAAGUGAAAAUCUUUUAAACUCUCUUGGUCAUCAAAAACUUCUCAACUCGCUACAUCGGAUUCAUAUCUCUUUGAGAGCAAAAUAAAAUUCACUUCCUACUCAUAAAACCAUAAAUACAAGAAUCUUCAAUACUCUUUGAGGCCAACAGAAACUACACUUAAACAUAAUCCACGCCUUGAAACCAUAAAUACAAGACUUUUCAAUCCUUUGAAGUGAAAAUCUUUCAAACUCUCUUGGUCAUCAAAAACUUCUCAACUCGCUACAUCAGAUUCAUAUCUCUUUGAGACGAAAAUAAAAUUCACUUCCUACUCAUAAAACCAUAAAUACGAGAAUCUUCAAUACUCUUUGAGACCAACAGAAACUACACUUAAACAUAAUCCACUCCUUGAAAGCAUAAAUACAAGACUUUUCAAUCCUUUGAAGUGAAAAUCUUUCAAACUCUCUUGGUCAUCAAAAACUUCUCAACUCGCUACAUUAGAUUCAUAUCUCUUUGAGAGGAAAAUAAAAUUCACUUCCUACUCAUAAAACCAUAAAUACAAGAAUCUUCAAUACUCUUUGAAGUCAACAGAAACUACACUUAAACAUAAUCCACUCCUUGAAAUCAUAAAUAUAGGACUUUUCAAUCCUUUGAAGUGAAAAUCUUUCAAACUCUCUUGGUCAUCAAAAAUUUCUCAACUCGCUACAUCAGAUUCAUAUCUCUUUGAGAGCAAAAUAAAAUUCACUUCCUACUCAUAAAAUCAUAAAUACAAGAAUCUUCAAUACUCUUUGAGGCCAAGAAAAAUUACACUUAAACAUAAUCCACUCCUUAAAACUAUAAAUACAAGAGUUUUAAAUCCUUUGAAGUGAAAAUCUUUCAAACUCACUCAGUCAUCAAAAACUUCUCAACUCGUUACAUCACAUCCAUAUCUCUUUGAGAGCAAAAUAAAAUUCACUUUCCACUCACAUGAAUCAACUGGCUGAAAGAAGGGCACAUAUGACACCCACAUAUUCAUCUUUUUAUACUUUUUAUUAAGAUAACGUUUGUAAAUUAUUAUUUUUAAUAUAUAAUUUAAAUGAAUUGUAAAAUAUGAAUAAAAAAAAAAAACAGUCUAAAUUCUUGUAUUCUCUUUAUAUAUUGUGUAGAUGUUUUAACAUCAUUCAAAGUGUAAUUUAGAAUUAUAGACACGCUACACUAAUUGAGAUCAUGGUCACUUUGGAAGAAUUUUCCUAUCUUAAAUACUAUAGUGAAAUCACACAAUUGUAAGGAUUAGACUAACACACAUUAAAUAACUAUGAUAGCUCUCGGUACAUGCAAAUCAAACUACACAUACAGUUAAAUGUAUCGUUUUAAAUUGAAUUUUUUUUUUACAAAGUGCAAGAUCCAAUUUUUGAAGGGACACAAUUAUAACCCUCUUUCAUGUGACCGUUAUUUUCACUUAAUUUGAAUCAUGAAUACAAUGUGUGGGAUCCAUCUAUCUCACCUAGUGUAAUCAUAGCCGCUUUGAUAAAUGAUCCCUGUUUAUGAUCCAAUUGCGAAUUCGCUUAGAGCGAGCCAAUUUUUUUUAGUGAAUUUGCCUUAAAUCUCUAUUUAUGAUUUAGAGUAAUGCUAAUAAGACAUUCUUUUGAAUAUCCACUCUAAUAUUCACUUUUUUAUUCGUUUACAUUUUAAAAAUUGAAUCCAAAUAAAGUGGUAGGAUAUAGAUUGAUUUCAUCUAAUAAAAGAGUGAAUGCUAAAUAGAGUGUUAAAAAAUGAAUGUUACUUGCAUUCCUUUUAUGAUUUAUUGCACAAAACGUAACACUUUAUCUAAAAAAUUAACUUUUACCUAACAUAGAAUCUAUUUCUAACUAACAUACAAAUUAAGGGUGGUCUUAUUUCUAACAUGUGUGACAAGUAUAGAAAAAUGGUAUCCUACAAUAUUUUUAUAGUUAAAAUACAAUUUCAUUAAUAAAAAUUUGACAGUAAAUCAAAAGUUAAGACUGCAAAAAUAUAAGGCGAAGUCUCUUCAAUCCAUUUACAGUCUAGAUUAUGAAGAGUGUAUUGAGCUAAAUAAUGGGUAGCUUGGUUAGCCUCACGCCUAACAUGCAAGAAUCUUAAACUACAAAAAAAGAUAUUAAAAUUAAUGAAGUCUCCAAUAAUAGAUCCAACAUAGUUGGGAUAUUGUUGAUGAGUGUUCAGCUCCUGAAUCACAUUGGAAGCAUCAAAUUUUGCUAUAUGAUUCUGAAAACACAUGUCUUUAGCAAAUUCCAACCCCUUCCGCAUAGCUAAAGCUUCUGCUACAUCCGAAUCUAGUAAUGAAAGGACUUGCCAACAACUAGCAGCAACGACAACACCUUCAUUAUCUCUCACAACAACACCAAUACCCCAUUUAUCCCCCUCGAUCGAGCCUGCUGCAUCAACAUUUAACUUAUAGAAACCACUAAUAGGGGUCGUCCAAUGAACAUUAGAUAUGGUUAAAUUUGGACCUCCGUUUAACAUUUUCAACAACAUUGUACUAGCACUAUUAAAAUUAACAAUGGAUCUUUGUGCCUUUUGUACCGUGGCAACCACAUCAACUUCAGUCCCCUCAAAAUAUUUUUUAUUUCUAGUGCAUCAUAUUUCAUAACACUAGGCCAACACAUUAACUAUAAUAUCCUCAAUUGCAUCAAUAAUAUUUCUUUUCAACCACUCCUGCAAUGGUACGUACCUAGAAGCAUGUGAAUUGAACACCACACCUAAAGAAGAAGCAAACCAUAUUUGCUUUGACCACUGACAGUCCAUAAAGAGAUGUGAAAUUGUCGCAUUAUGUUGCCCACAAAAAACACACAAUGGAUCACAACAAAUUUCUCUUUUAAAAAGAUCAUUUUUGACCGGUAGUUUUUCAUGUAAAAUAAAUGGAUGUGUCUUGGAAUACUUUUUAUUUUCCACAAUUUUUUCCACUCUUGUUGAUCAAUGUCUUGUCCUGAGCUAUGGGAUACAAGUACUUCACGCCUUGCCUCUAAGAAACGGUAUGCACUCUUCACCGAGAAAAAAAAAUAAAAAUAGCAGACCAUGUAGCACCCCUCACAAAAUCAUCUUGUAAUUGCUCGAAAGAAAUUGGCAACUAAAGAAUUUGUUGAGCCUCGAAAGAAAUUGGCAACUGAUAUUUUCAAAACAAAAGAAAAUAAUAUUGUCAUUCUUAAGUGUUUGUUUAGGGUUUUGUAAAAAAAAAAAAUUAAAAAAAUAUCCAUUUUGUCUCUAAUUGAAAAGCUAUUAAAGUUAACUUUUCUAUUUUGUUUUUCAAAGACAAUGAAGUAAAAACUCUUUUUUUUUUUUUAGUGAUUUUUAUGGAUAGUAAACAAACAAAAAUAGUUUCAAUUUUUUUUUAAAAACUUCAAAAAAAUCUCUAAAUUCUUUGAAGAUCAAAACAACUUUUUCAAAUUGUGCUCCUACCUUAGCAGAGUGUGCUCUAUAAACAAAAGAUUAUCAGCUUUUUCGAAAUCUUACGUAAAAUAUAGAAGGAGAAUGAACAAUUCAUCUACAUAGUCGUAUAGUGUCCUUAUUUAUUAUAGGGUUAAUAGUGUUUUUGGCCCCUGCAGUAUAGUGCACUUUUGGUUUUAGUCCUUGUAAAAGUUUUUUUUUAGAUUCCACCCUUGAAAAAUGAAGAUUCUUCAAGAUUGGCCCCUCACCCCAAUGAGUCAGCAGAAUUUCCUACGUGGCAGUGAUGUGUCAAUUUCUUUUCUUUUUUUUAAUUUUUUUUCAUGCCACGUGGCAUUUAUGAUUUUUAUUUUUUUUUAAAAAAUCAAAAAAUUAAUAAAAAAAAUGGAAAACUUAAUAAUGAUUAAAAAAAUCUGGAAAAAUUAUAAAUAUAAUUUUAAAAAACGUGAAAUUUAAAAUCGAAAAAAUCUUAAAAAAUUAAAACAAAACCUGGAAAUUUUAUGAAAAAAUUUAAAAAUUCUGAAAAAAAUAAAAAAAUAAAAAAAUCUGGUAAAAAGAAAAAUAAUGAAAAAAACACUAUUAACCCAAAAACAAUAAUAAUGAAAAAAUUCGGGAAAAAUAAAAUAAAAAUCUGGAAAAAAAUAUUCGAAUAUUUUUUUCGAAUAUAUAUUGAAAUUUUCGAAUAUUUUUCUCCAGAAUAUCAUAUUUAAAAAAACAAAAUUUACGAAAAAAGAUUAAUCAUAUUUAAAAAAACUAACUUUUCGAAAAAAAAUUAUGGAAAAGAUUUAAAUAAAACUUCUUACUUUUGAAAAUAAAAAUAUGAAUUUUUUCCAGAAUUUUUUAAUUUUAUCGGAAUUGAAAAAAAUCUUAAAAUUUAAUUUUUUUUUCUAAAUAUAUUAAUUUUUAGAAAAUUUUAAUAUAUAUUAAUCUUCCCAAAAACAAUAAUAAUGAAAAAAUUCGGGAAAAAUAAAAAAAAAUCUGGAAAAAAAUAUUUGAAAUUUUUUUUCGAAUAUAUAUUGAAAUUUUCGAAUAUUUUUGUCCAGAAUAUCAUAUUUCAAAAAACAAAAUUUUCGAAAAAAGAUUAAUCAUAUUUAAAAAAACUAACUUUUCGAAAAAAAUUAUGGAAAAGAUUUAAAUAAAACUUCUUACUUUUGAAAAUAAAAAUAUGAAUUUUUUCCAGAAUAUCAUAUUUCAAAAAACAAAAUUUUCGAAAAAAGAUUAAUCAUAUUUAAAAAAACUAACUUUUCGAAAAAAAUUAUGGAAAAGAUCUUAUUUAUAAAAGGUCUUAAGUUGUCUUAAACAGCUUUUUGGAGCCAAAAUUUGAGGUUAAUUUGGUCAUUUUAAUAUUGACAUCUCAUUAUUAUUAUUAUUAUUAUUUAAUAUACGACGGAGGUAUCUCGGGGUGCCAACCUAGUUGGGAUGUCGACGACGCCUCUUGAUGCCUGUUUUCACUCCUUGCUUAUCAAAAAAAAAAAAAAAAUUAAUAUUUAAUAUAUAUUUAAGCAAUUGAACAAUAAUCUUAGUUUGUUUGUUUUUUCGUUUUUUUUUUCCUUUCAUAAUUUUAUUUUGUUUUUCUUUCACAUUAUUAUUUAAUAAUAAUAAUUUAGAUUUAAUUAUUUAAUAAUAAUAAUUUAUAUUUAAGCAAUUGAACAAACCUUUGUUAUAUUUAUGCCAUAAACUACUAAAUAUAUAUUUAAGCAAUUGAACAAACUUUCGUUAAAUUUGUGUCAUAAACUACUAAAUACUUUUUUUUUUCUUCCAUAAUCUAAGUUUUUUUUUUUUUCUUCCAUAAUCUAAGUUUUUUUUUUUUGUUUCACCUUUAUUUUAUUUUUUUGAAAGAAUUUGUUUCAGGUUUAUAAUUCUCAUUAUCUUUUUAUUCACAUAAUAUUUUUAUUUAUUUCAGCUGUCAAAGAUACAAGCUUCUAUUAAAAGCAAGGAUUUCAAACAACUUGGAGAUUCUAUUGAAGAGGGUGCUUCAUAUACUAUAGAAAAGUUUUUGGUCCAAUUUAAUAAAGAAAAAUUUAAGCCAACAAAUCACAAAUACAAGCUAACUUUGAUAGGAAGCACUAUUAUAACCAAAACAUCUUAUGAUAAAAUUUCUGCAAAUUUGUUUAACUUCACAAAAUUUCAACACAUUAUUGGUGGUACUGAUAAGGGUGUUUUAAUGGGUUAGUACUUUAUACUAAACUUACAAAUUAAAUAUUAACUUAUUUUUAGAUUUUUAUGAUUUCUUUUUUAUGAUUCUACAACCAUGUUUAUUUGUAGAUGUCAUUGGCCAUGUGGUUGGAACGACUGACAUUAAGGAUGUUCAAGUAAAAGGAAAAAUGACUAAAAUCUUGGACUUGACUCUUGAAGACCUUGAGUUAGUGGAGUUUUUUUUUUUUUUUUUUUUUUUUUAAUCUUUGUUUUAACUACAUAUAUAGAUGUUUUUUUUUAUUAUUUUUCUUACUGUAAUAAAAAUUAUUUUGUAAAUUUCAGGAGCAAUACAAUCAUUUGUACUUUAUGGGGUCAUUUUGCUGAACAAAUGAAUAGCUAUAUGAGCACAAAUGGAAAUACUUUUCCAAUUGUAGUUGUUAUGCAUCUAUGUCGACUUAAUGUUUAUGUUUUUGGUGGUAAUUAGAUUAUCUUUUUAAAAGUAAUUAUUUUUAAUUUCUUUGUAUUGUUAAUGAUAUAUAUCACUUAAUACCUUUUGGUGUAUCAUUUUAAUAGGUAUGUAUGGGAUUGCCAAUGCAUUCAAUGAAACCAAGUUGCUUAUAAAUCCCAACAUUGAAGAAUGUUGCAACUACAAGAAAGGGUAUGCACUAACCUAUCGUUAUUACACAUAUAUUAUAUAUUGAAAAUUAUUGGAAAUUUUUUUUUUGGUUAAGUAUGAUUUUCUUAUAUUUUACGAUAGGAUGAAAACUGGCAAUGCAUCUUUGACCCAAGGGGUCACCCAGAUGACAGCACAAUCUUCACUUUCUUUGUCUAAUGAUCUACUCCAAACAAAAAACAUGACAAUUUUAGAUAUUACACAAGCUAAACAGGUAUACAACUUUAUGCUAAUUUGCUUUGACUUAUACUAUUAUACUAUGUUGUUAAAUAAUUCUUAAUCCAUAUCUUUGUAUUUUCAUUUUCUAAUUAUUAUUCUUUAAAUAAAUUUAAUAACUAUGCAGGUGGGUGCAUAUGUUGUCUUGGCUAAAAUUAUUGGCAUAGACACCAAUAAGAAAUGGUGCUACGUUUCAUGUAAUAAGUGUUUCAAGAAGGUUGAACCUGUUUGUACAAAAUACUUUUGUGAAAAAUGUGAUACAUUAGUCGAUGCUACAAAAAGGUAACAUUUUCCAUAUUAAUUUUUCUUAUGUUUCACUCAUUUCUUUUAAGUUAAACUCAAUUAUUCUUUAUAUUCGGUUACUUAUAUAAUUAGCAAAUCUAAUUUCAAUUUUUUUUUCUUUCUAAUAACUUGCUAUGUACAUGAUUAUAUAAACGACAAGUUGCAUCAUCACCACUUUUAUUCUUUUGGUCACUGAUUUUUUUGGUUAGUGAUUCCUUAUAAGGUUAUUGAAUCUUUCAUGUAUAUUCACUUUUCAUUUUAGGUUUAUGGUGCACAUUCAUGUUAUGGAUGAUAGUGGAUCAACUACCAUUGUGUUGUUUGAUGGAGUUAUUUCACAACACUUUGGAAAGACUACAAAAGAACAAAUGGUAUUGAUAAUGAACUUAAGUAUAUUGUUUUUUUGUAUUUUUUAUGUUAUAUUAUUAAAAUAAUAAACAUUGGUUUUAAUUGUUUACUAAUCCAAAUCAAAAACAGGGAAGGACCACAAAUGAUUAUCCAACCGAGUUUGACACCUUACGUGAUAAGAAAAUGCUUUUCAAACUGGAGAUCAAUCAAAAAAUGUUCAACAGAGGUUUUAUACCUAUGCAGUCAAAAAGAUGUCUGAUGACAAUGAAAUCAUUGAUGAGUUUAAGAAAAAGUAUUAUAUUGAGUGUCAUGCUGCUCCUCCGAAUGUUGAGGAAGAUGAUGUUGAUAUCAUAGGUCCUAUUACUCCUCAAACUGAUGAUAACAUUAAGGUAGUUAAAUAUUCUUUAUAUCUACUUUAAAAGUAUUCAUAAAACUUAUUAAAUUAACUAUUUCUAUAAAUGUUUAUUAUUCAUGUAGCUUCUUGGUGAUGAAGCUAAUUCUAUUCCUAAAGAUACUCAUCCAUCCAAGUCUUUGAGAAAGAGAAACGCCGACUCAGAUGCAACAUAUAUUGACGUUGAUUGUCAAACUCGGUCGUCCACCACUAAAUUGCAGAAAGUUGUCAAAAUUAAGCAAGAAGCUCAAGAUUGUUAUUUUAGCUCUUCUUAGUCUACACUACUUAGAUUUAUUUUGUUUCAUUUUUCUUUUUUACUCAAUAAGUACCUUCUUAAUUGUUAUUUGUUUUGGAAUUUAUCUUCCCAUUUGCUAAUUUGGUUGCUAUAACAUUUGGUACUUUGGUGCAUGUCAUACAUCCAAAAAUAGAAUGCUUAUGUUCUUUUUUGUCCACAUCAAUGUCACUCUAUCUAUAUAAAAAAAAAAAAAAAAUUAUCUCUAUCGAAUGAUGUGGUGGUAACCAAAAAUCACUUGCGUUGGUGACCAAAAUAAAUCACCUUACUUUUUUUUAUUGUGUUUCGUAGCAUUAUCAAUAUCCUGUCUUCAUAUGGUGGCAAAAACUAUAUGCAUGCCUAUUCUUAAAUGAUAACUCAUAUUUUGCUAUAAGCACAAAUAAAUUUUAUGUGAAAAACCAACUUUAAAAAAAUGUUAAUUCAACCAAGUUAUUCAAACUAUUAGCAAGAGUCCUUCUUUUUUAACUUGAAAAGUGAUUUUUUUUACUUCUUAAAAAGGCUAUAACAAAUAGACUCAUAAACUACUAGGUAACUUUUUUCUUAUACUUUUUUAUAUGGUUAUGUAAUUUGUAUUUCUCCUUAUGCCAUUUAAAAUAAUCGUGUAUAAUCAUACAAAUUUAUUUUAUUUCAUGCCAGGUUGAUCAUCAUCUUUAUGAUGAAUUUUCAAUUUGGAAUCAGCAAAAAUCAUGGACACAAGACUUAGUUUUACCGAUUCAAUUGUUGAGAAUUGAUACGUCUUUAUUAUCCACAAAUUUGUAUAUUAUUACUCAAGUCAAACUUAUCUUAGUAGUUGCAUUUGGUUAUCCGAUGUGAUAACGAGAAUUCUAAAUUACUUCAAGUUUUUAUUGGUUUUAUUUUGGACACGUUAAUUCAUUCUCACUUACAACUAUUAUUGUUUCAUUUACGAUUACCUUAUUUAUUAAUCAAUGUCAUAUCUAACUUCCCGUGCAUCGCACGGGUCUAAAUACUAAUUUAAAUAAAACUUCUUACUUUUGAAAAUAAAAAUAUGAAUUUUUUUCAGAAUUUUUUAAUUUUAUCGGAAUUGAAAAAAAUCUUAAAAUUUAAUUUUUUUCUAAAUAUAUUAAUUUUUAGAAAAUUUUAAUAUAUAUUAAUCUUUUCCAGAUUUUUUUUUUAUUUUUCCUGAAUUUUUUCAUUAUUUUUCUUUUUACCAUAUUUUUUUAAUCAUUUUUUAUUUUUAUUAAUUUUUUCAGAAUUUUUAAAUUAUAUUUUUAAUUUUUCCAGAUUUUUUUAAUCAUUAUUAAUUUUUCCAUUUUUUUAAAAUUUUUUUAAUUAUUUUUAUUAAUUUUUUGAUUUUUUUUCGUUUUCUUAAUUUUUUUUAUUUUUAUUUAAAAAAAUCAUAAAUGUCACAUGGCGUUCAUUUACACAUGUGGCAUGAAAAAAAAAAAAAUUUGACACGUCACAGCCACAUAGGAGAUUCUGCUGACUCAUUGGGGUGAGGGGCCAAUCCUGAAGAAUCUUAAUUUUUCAAGGGUGGAAUCUAAAAAAAAAAAUUUGCAGGGGCUAAAACCAAAAGUGCACUAUAUUACAGGGGCCAAAAACACUAUUAACCCUUUAUUAUAUUAGGUAAUUAUGACUACACCAUGAUAUUAUUGUUUUCCAUUUCUUCUAUGAGUUCAUGAUAGCAACAUACUUCCAUAAUAUAACAAUACAUAUGAUCUUUUCAAUGAAAUUGACAACUUAAUCUAUAUUGUAGAACUCAGCACUGCAUUGACAAGAUAAAUUAAUGCACUUCGGAAAUAGAUCAAUUGGACACAGAUCUGGUGGACAUUCAUUGCUAAAAAGGCAUGGAAGAACCUCAGGGAUGCCUAAUAAGAACCAAAUAAAUGUUAAAAUCGGUGAUGGAAUAUUAUAUAUAAAUUAAAGGGUAUUUUUACAUACAUGUUGUUGUUUGAAGAAGUUAAUAUGGAUUUAGAUUAAUCAAAAGACCAACACUUCAAAGUAUAACAAAGUCAACUUAAGAACAUUAUAAGAAACUUCAAAAAUGUUAAACGAACUUUGUUUUUAGUCCUCGUAUAAGAAGUGAUAUGUUUUGAUCCCUGUAUUUUUUUAACAAGUAAUAAAUUAAAUAUUAAUUUUUCUAAACAUCAAAUUUUGACCUAAAAUUCAAAUUUUGAAAUAAUUUUUUUCAGAGGAACUUUGUAUUAUUAUGUUCUAAAUAAAUAUGUCAAGAAUAAUUCAAACGUUUAAAAGUUUAAGUAUAAUUAAUCAAAUUUUAAUUUUACAAGGACAAAAAAUUUAUAUUAUGGAAAAUUUUAUAAGAAACUUAUAAAAUGAUGAAUGAAUUUUGUUUUUAGUCCUUAUAAAAAAAAGUGACAUGUUUUGAUCCUUAUAUUUUUUUAACAUGUAAUGAAUUAAAUAUUAAUUUUUCAAAACACCAAAAUUUCAAGAUCAAAGUACUAAAAUUUUUGAACAAAAAAUCAAAUAUUGAACUAAUUUUUUGUGGAGAUACUUUGUAUGAUGUAAUAAAUAAGUAUGUAAAAAAUCAUUCAAAAGUUUAUGCGUUGAAAAAUUUUAUAAGGACAAAACAUGACACUUUUUUAUGAAGACUAAAAAAAAAUUUACUAUAUUUAUAAGACCAAAAACUUUAAUUUAACUCUAAGUUAAAUUAGAAAUUUGAAAAUGAUAUGAAACACUACUCACUUUCGUUGGUUGCGACCAUAAAUAGGGAGACAAAGAUGAGGAAAGCAAAAAAGAAAUAUAGGAUUCGAGCCAUACUUUUUUCUUUUUGCAUGUAAUAAAUGGAAAAUAUUUUGAUUAAUUUAUACAAAAAAAGUAAUGUGUUGUUUUUUCUUUUUUAGUGGCAUCCAGAGUCUUGUAUAUAUUGUGCAUUAUUUUUAUCAACUGAGUUAAGUUUACGGAAUAAUCUGUUGUUAACUUCAAAGAAAUAGUUUUUAACCUUCAGGGGCUGCAAGAAAUCGAUAAAAAAAAUUGGAAUUAUUAGUAAAUGUUUCUAUAUUACAUCAAUCUAUCCUGUCUAUCUCUUUUCAAGUUCAACUGAUCACUUAAUUUUAUUAAAUAUAUCAUAUAAAAAAUUUAAUAAUCAUCAAAGAUCAUUCAUUUUUCUAUUAAACUUCUAAUAUAUAUUUUAUUUCUCUUUUAGCUUUUUAUGGUAGAGAGGAGACACAUAUAAAAAUCUUUGGGUAGAAAUAAAAAUUAAAAAAAUGGACAGAUAUAAAAAUUUAAACACUAGUGACGAAUGAUGAAAAAUCUUUGGGGAGAAAUCAUUCACCAAACAGGUGAAAAUAAAUAUUUAUUAUUGAGAAACUAAAGUAACCAUAAGAUAAUGUUUUUUGAUUGACAAUUUUAUGAGAUCAAAGACAAUAAAUAUUAUAACAUCCCAUUUUUUCCAUACUUGUCACACAUGUUAGAAAUAAGACCACCCUUAAUAGAAGAUAAAGUCUGAAAAUUUUAAAACAAUAAAUGAAAACUAAAUUAGACUUACCUAAACCUAAUCUUAAUAGUUAAAAUAAUUUUCCCCGAUUACCUUAUCGAAAUAUCAAAACUCCCCCCAGCAACAGCGUUAAAAAUUUGAUGGACAUAAUUGUCAAGUGCGCCAAAUCGUAACAAGUAAUAAGGUAGUAAGUUUAUCGUUCUCCACAUGGAUUGUCGUUCGACUUUGUAAUUAAUAAAAACUUAGUUUAAAGUGUGGAGUUAAGUAAAUUUGAAUAGAGUUGCAGAGUUGAAUUAUUGUGCCAAAUGCAAGAUUAAGUUUUGUGAUUCAGAUAAUUAGUGGUGAUUAGGGAAUCCUUUGAAUCCCAUAUUCGUCUUUGUUGGAAUUAAACUCUAAAAAAUAAACAAUUAUGUGUGCUACUUAUGAUUUAAUGAAACAGGCAAAUAAAACUCUCACGAAGCUUCUCACAACAACUAUGUGUUGGACCAACCAAGGUUGACAGUUGUCCAAAGAAGGGAGUAUUUAAACGGUCGGAAUUCAAACAUGAACUUCCUAACAUCAAUAAGAAGGGGUAAUUAGAAAAGUCAAUGAUACUGAUAUAAUUUCGGGUUGUCUGUGCCUAUUUUAUCCUACAGGUCAUUCUUCAAGAUUACAUACUUAGUUAACCAAUUCAAAUAAGCAUUAAAGAACAUGCAUAAAAAAAUAUACCAUCAGGAUAAACUAUAAUUCUCCUUGAAAGGAGGUUAUGUCGAGUCUUAAUACUAUCUCGAAGUAGCUGCCAUGAAAAAAAAUCACCUUGAGAUGAGACUAAGACCCCCACAACCUUGAAAGAAGUUGAAUAAAUUCUUUUUACCUCUCAUCCACCACACUAGCUCUCAUAUGAAGGAAUUUAUAAGUUGAUAUCCCUUUAUAAAUGCUCGAUGAAUCAUUGCUCCAGACCCAAAAAUCUACACCUUCAGAGAAGGUCAAACUCUCUAAAGCCUGGAGCAACUCUCGCAAAACCACAAGUUAGUUCCGACUAAAAAAGAUCCCUCCUCACUUCAGAUCCCAGACCCAUUCAAAUCCGUCUCUCACAGUCAUAUCAAUCACUUUAGCUUCUUUUUGUAUAGAAACUUUGAACAAGCCUAGGGUCACGAAUUCUCAAUGGAAUAGCACCCGACUAGGGACCUUUUCAAAAAUAUGUAGAUCGACCAUCUCUAACUUCCAUGAGAAUCUUUUUUUGAAGAAACUAAAUUAGCCCACUUAAACUAACACUAGAGAGAAUCAAACUUGAGACCUAAAGGAGGAGCACCAAUUAGUAGACUCAGGCUGACUUGUUUCCAAUAAGGACAUCUUUUUCCACCAGUUUGAGACACCUCUUAAACCUAUCACCCUCCCCCCGCGAUGAUCCCACAUAGACCUUUUUGCAUAUCUCGCUCCAAUAAUAUCUUUCCACAGAGCCUCCCAUCUUGUGAUCAACCUCCAACGCCACUUUCCCAAAAGGACAAGAUUAACCAAUCUUAGAUCUUUGUUACCCAACUCUCCUUCACUCUUAGGCUUAGAAACAUGUGAAAUGAGAUAAGAAUAUGCAAAAAUUAUACAUGACACAAUAGCCCCUUAUUCAAUCAUUUCAACGAGCACAAAUCUCCUUAUUUUUUAUGCAUCCUUAGCAACUCUUAUUAAAGUCUAAGGCAUUAUGCAACAAUUUUAACCAUUAAAUCUAAUUUGUGCAAUUGCUUGUUGAUAUUAUAUCAUCGUGAAAGGGUAAGAACAAAGAAUGCAAGGUGGCAUUUAGCAUGGGAAAGGGAAGUUGUUUCCCACCAUGGAAUAAAGAGCCCACGUUUAUCAUAGUCCCUCAACACUAUAUUAUUCUUCCACACCAUCUUCCAACACUAUUCUUUCUCCUUCAUGCCACACCACCACCAACAUCAUCAAACCUAUUGUUCCAUUAUUUUUCAGAAGAAUUUAAAAGGAUAGUAUUGUCUCAAUUUUAAUCCCACUGUAUAUUGCAUCACCUAAUUUUAAUGUUUUAAAACGUUUUUAUUGUUCUUUAAGGAAUUUAAUUUUUUUCUCGACACAUUUGAUGCCUAACACACCCUUCUCUAUCUUUCAAUUUUGCUUUUAAUUCAGACCGGAAGUGGUGAUCGGAAACUAGCCGGCGGUGGUGUUUGGUGGGUGAAGGUGCCCAAAAUGCAAAAAUAAGUAGAAAAAUAGAAAGAUCUCACGAUGAAGAGCACAAAUCUAAUGUAUGUUUUUCUUAUAAGCAUGUUCAUGGUGGCCAGAAGUGGUAACCGGAAAACUAGCCGGCGGUGGUGUGUGGUGGCUCUCUGGCAUGGUGCCUAGAAUGCAAGAAGAAGUAGAACAUUGGAAAUAUCUAACGAUGAAGAACAAAAAUCUGAUGUUUGUUUUUCUUGAACAUAUUCACGGUGGCCGGAAGUGGUGACCGGAAAGGAGGAGGAAGCUGAAAAGGGAGAAAUCUGAGACCAUGGAGAGAGAAAACAUGAGGCAGGAAAUGGGAAAUUGCAGGAAAGCAUGAAGCAGUAGAAGGGUAAUUGAUGACUGCUUUUUUUCCUUCUUUUGUCACCCAUUAAUUUGACGGUAAAAAAAAAAAAAAUCUUAUGGUGGAAAACAACUCCCCUUUCCUAUGGUAAACCCCACCAGAAUGCAAUAAUUAUUGCAUUUAGGUAGGAAUUAGACAUAUGUAUAUGCAAGACUUGGCAAAAAGAAAAAAUGACCCAUACAAUUGAGGUGGCAUUUCACAUGGAAAAGGUGAAAAUCUUCCCACCAUAGGAAAAGUGCUUUUAACCAUGAGAUGAAAUGAAGACUACACUCUUUAUCAUACUCUCUCCAUACUGUAUUAUAUCCUUUUUACACUAUUCCACCACUAUUGUCUCUCUCUCUCUCUCUCUCUCCUCCAUGUCCUCAUUCACCCACCAUCACCUGCAAGGUUGCAACAUCAAAUUCACCAUAGCACCGCCCUCACAACCUUACUCCCUUUAUUGCAUCCAUAAAUCUAUUAUUCAACAAUUUUCACUUUGAUGAAGAACCUCUAUAAAUCUUACAACAAAACACCAAAAAUCAAUUAAAUUGUUUCCAUUAAAAAAAACAUUAACUUACUUAAAUAUAAAAACAUUAUGUUCAAGAUUAAUGGUUAAGUUGUUGAGAAGAAGAGAUUGAUGAAUUUCUAUGAUGAAAUCAUGAAUGUAAAAUAGAGUUUUCAAUUGCCCAACUUUAAAAUCAACCAAUUAUUGUUGUUUACUGCAAAAUCAAGAUUUUGGAAUGGGAUGUGUUAUGAGCGUUUACUGUUUGGGAUGAAAUGGUUGAUAAGAGUGGUGAAGUUGGACUGUUGUUAGAACAUAAUGUUGUUGAGAGAAAAUGUGUUGGUAGCUAAUAGAGAAGAGGGAUGCGGUUGUGAUGUUGCCGGUGAUGAUGGGUGAGUGGGGAGAGAGAAAGGGUGGUAAAAAAUAAUAUAGUGUGGAGAGAGUAUGACUAAAUGUGUAGUCUUCAAUUAAUCUAAUGGUUAAAAGCAUUUUUCCCAUGGUGGGAAGGUUUUCACCUUUCCCAUGUGAAAUGGCACCUAAAAUUGAAGGUUUAAUGUCAUUAACUUGCCUAAAUUAUUCUAGCAUGUAUUCGUAAUUUUAGGAUCAUUCAAUCAAUCAUAUAGUAUCGUUGGAUAACAAUUUUCAAGUUCAUUAUAAUACAAAUAUGAUAAAUUUUGAAAUAAAUAUACUUUUUUGGAUGCUUUUCCUCACUUUGAGAUUCAAUGACGAGAGUAUAUUUAUUAAUAUUGAAAUCUCUUCUCAUGCUCAUUCUUUAGUAUCUUUAGUAUCUUUGAUAACUUAAAGCCAGCUUGAGAAUUAUGGAGUUUCUUUGUCAGAUGUCAUUAAGGAAGAUGUCAAGGCUAAUUUUUUUAUGGUUUAGAUGAAAGAUGUGGCUUAAUACUACUAAGAACAUAACCUACUUGAGUUGGUCUUGUGGUAUUGAAUUGAGAUAUGGGAGUGUUGUAACGCCUUCGCUUGGUGGGCAUGUAACGCCCGAGGCUGAUGAGGGCGGGGAGUGGUCCGGCUCCUGGCAUGCUUCUAGGCAAAACUGAAUCACAUCGGAAUGAGAGAGAUCUUGAGGCCGUGCAGGUAUGAGACUGUAUGGUUAAAGGAAAGCUUAUAAGAAUUGUUUGGUACUACCUAUAUCAACAAGAUGCAUCUUCUUUUCGGUAGCUCAUUCCAUAAGAACUCCACAGUUAAGCGUGCUUGACUCGGAGCAAUUUUGGGAUGGGUGACCUACCGGGAAGUUUUCCGGUAAGCGUGCGAGUGAGGACAAAACAUGCUGAAAAGACUCGUGUUGGUUUGUGGGGUCAGUCGGCAAUCCUGAAAGCAGUCUGGGGUGUUACAAGUGUGCUCCUCCUCGAGAUUUCAUGUUUGAUUCCCUAUGAUGCCAAUUUAGGUAAGCUAGUUUAGCUUCUUAAAAAAAAAAAAAAAACUACUAAGAACAUGUACUUUUGAAGUAUAAUGGUGAUUGAGAUUUGUAUAAAGAGUUUUUAGCUCAUUUCUAUUUUUGAUAAAUGAAAAAAAAGGUAGCACGUCAAAUGAAAACUAGAUUGACAACUCAUUAAAUAAGAAGAUGAGAUGCAAUGCAUGAGAAAUUUAUAUAACUGAUGUGUAGAGAUGAGGUGAUGGAUGGGUUUUAAAGGAGAAAUAGACAUCUUAGAUAAACUUGUUCGAUUGUAACAAUCUUUCAAUCAUGUUUAUCGAAUUUGUCAAGCCUAUCAUCAAUUAUUAUUUAUAUUUUUAAAGAUCAAUAUUUUCUUUUUUAUUUGUGAUCCUUCAUUUUUUUUUUGUAAUGAGAGUUCUUUGAACAAUAUUACAUAAUGAUUUAAACGAUGAUUUUUCAAACUCAUCUAUCACAAAGCCAUAAAAGUUCUACUUUGACAAGAUCCCGUAGCUAAAUGUAAAAUAAUUCAAGAGAUGCAAUUUUUUAGGUUAUGCUAACAAAUGUCCUUAGAAAUAUAAAAAUAGAAAUAAUUGAAGAAUUUAAGAAAACAAAAAUCAAUUUUUAAAGUUUCAAUAUAUAACAAAUGCAUAAUUUCGAAGAUAGAGUUUUUUCAUUGGACUUAAUAUCAACUGCAUAUAGAGAGCACUUGUUUGCAUUUUUUUUUUAACAAGGCAAAAAACACUAAAACUGAGUUUGUAUCUUCUUGUGUUUUUUUUUUUUUUUUUGAGGGAUCUUCUUCUUGUGUUGUAUGCCCUCAAUUCAAGAGAUUUAUAUUUUAUAAUAAAUAUAUACCUUUUUAAAUGUAUUAAUAGCACUAACAAAUCACAGGGACACAUGACUUAGAUAAAAGAUAAAAAAAGACUAGUUACUCAAUUACUUCAUGAUCAAUUUCUCACUUUCUCUUGCUAUAAGCAAGUCGGUUUCUCCCAAGAAUAACACCAACCCACAAAUUUGAGCUUUACAACGAAAUUGACAACUUAAUUGUCCUCCCAAUAACUGCAUCGACAUAAUAAAUUGAUGCACUUUGGAAAAAGAUGAAUGGGACACAUAUCUCUUGGACAGUCGGUGUUCAAAACGCAAGGAAUAACAUCAUCAAUGCCUAACAAGAACAAAAUAAAUGUUAAUAAAAGGUGAUGAAAUAGUUUAUAUACAAAUUAUAUUAUAAAUUUUAAAAUGGUUUGAAAAAUUACUCACUUUGGUGGGUUGCAACAAGAAAUGGAGAAAGAAGGAUAAUUAAAGCAUAAAAAAAACAUCCGAUUUGAACCAUAAUUUUUCUCCUUUGCAUUACUAUAAAUAGAAAUUGUUUUAUCAUAAGACCAAAAAAAAAAAAAAAAUUGUUUUAUCACUUUAUAAGAAACAAAUUCAUUUUUUUAAAACUCCAUUUAAAUUGUUUUUAGCCCUUAGGAGUUCCAAGAAGCCAUUUAUGAACAUCUUAAUAGUACAUCAAUGUUCUUUUAGGUCUUUCGGUUACUCACUUGAUCACUUGUGUUUUCUAAUGAUCUCACAUGAAAAGCUUGAUUCUCAUAAAAUUUCAUUCUUUUUUUUAUUAAACUUUUAAUAUAUUCUUAAUUCUCUAUUUGGCUUUUCAUGAUAGAUUAAAGCAUAAAAAACAUUGGAUUCUAGCCAUACAUUUUCUCUUUUGCUUAUAAUAAAAAAAAUUUGUUUGAUCACUUUAUAAGAAACAAUUCCAUGCUCUGAUAACUCCAAUUAAAUUGCUUUUAACCAUUUGGAUUUCCAUGAAGACGUUCGUAAAAUUGGCACUAUUGGUAAAUGUCUUAAUAGUACAUCAAUGUGUUCUUUUUUGCUUUUUUGGUUACUCAAUUGAUCACUUAUAUUUUGUAAACAUCUCACAUAAAAAUCUUGAUGAUCAUCAAAGUUCUUAUUCUUUUUUAUUAAACUUUCGGUAUAUUUUUUAUAUCUCUUUUAACUUUUCAUGACAAACAACAAACACAUAAAAAUAGAAAUAAUAGUGACGAAUGAUGAAAAAUUUGGGGUGAAAAUAAUGUGUCGAAGAGAUAAUGACAAAAUAUUCGUUAAGAAGUUAAAAGUACCAUUUGAUAAUAUUUUUUAUCGACAAUGUUAUAUGUGUCGCACCACCCAAUUUCCCUUUGCCUAGUCUAGUCUUCUCUUGAGGCCCCAGAGUAAGACUCUAGUAGCAAAUUUUGCUUGACAAUUGUUUAUGGGUGUUCGAUCAAGGAAAAAUGGUGUUUUAAGUUCAACUCUAUACAUGAAAAAUGGCAUGUUCCCGUAAUGGAACAGUUAGAACAGGGGAACUGUUCUAGAGAAAACUCGCUUAAGCGAGUUGCUCAGUGACCGCACCCCAUGUUUUGGGUGUUCUGGGCUUUAGGGAAUCGAUCUGGACCGUCCAAAUUGAUUCUUUUGAUGUAAUUAAAUGUAUUUGGGCCUUCUAAACCUUUGGAAACAUCAAUUGAGUUAGAUUGAACUUGGUUUUGUGAAUUGUAUCAUAAACUUUUUGAAAAUGGUUCAAGAACAUGAAAUUUUUGAAAACUCGUUUCUCAAGGGAAAAAGGUAGGACUAUGGUUGUCUAGUAUUGUUAUGAUUUAUAAAAAUGUUUUGAAUGAGAAUCAUGAACUUUAACUUGGUUUUGCUUUGAAAACCGGCAAAACGAUACGAAUUUUGUGAAACUUUGGGAUUGAGGUGAAUUGGCCUAUGAAACGUAUAUGUAUAUGCUGCUGCAUUCAUAUGUGACUUAUGAGUAUACUUGGUUGAGGCAUUUGAAAUUGUUUGGUUUGCUUUGUCGAAUAACUUGGAACUAAAAGGAUACAUACUUAAAUGAAUUUUGGUACUUGUCGGAAUUAGCCCAUGAAACAUAUAUGUAUAUACUACUGCACUCAUGUGAUUGGUGUGUAUACUCGGUUGAGGCGUUUGAAUUCGUUUACUUUGGUUUUGGAGAAUUUGUCAGAAAUGCUAGUUUUCAUAAACUUAGACGAAUUUUGUCAAACUAAUGUUUCAUGGUCGGAUUACUCGUAGGAGACUUUGAAUUCAUGUUAGUAUGUUUGAAUGUGAAUGAAUUAUUAAUGAUUGGGUGUUUAAAUUGAUAGAUGUCAAGAUGUGGCUAAAUGUUCGUCUUCGUGUGAAAUGUGAAUUUGAGACUUGAUCGUUUCUUUUAGGUGUUAAAUAUUGUUGAUGAUUUUGAUGUUAUUCUUUUGGUGAUUUUGUGAUGAAUCUUAUUGAAUAUGACUUAUGAAUUAUGAGGUGAAGGUGUUUCAUUUGGUGAUGACUAUUUGAUGAAUAUUUGGUGAUAAACAUGAUUUUUUUUUUUUUUUGUUGAUUGUGAUAAUGACUUGUCGAUUGUAUGGAUGUAAGUAUUUGAUAAUGCAAUUGUUGGUGAGUAACAUAAAUGUGGGCUGAUUAUUAUGUUAAUGUCUAUGGGGUGAUUUAUGCAUUGUCAAGUCCUUAUUUGAAGUCCAUGCAUUCAUAGUCAUAUGAGGUGAUCUUGAAGUAUAUAAAUGCGGGGUGAUUAUUACAUAGCUUCUGCAGAGCAUAAAUGUAGGGUGAUUAUUAUGCUGGUGGAUUCAUUAACGGUAAAAUUAUCUCCAGAAUCCAAUGGUACCACAUGCAUCUAGAAGAGUCUAGAACAUUGUAUGCAUUUGAAUAUUUGGUGAGUCGUGUCAUAAUUGAAUAUGUGACUUGGUGAAUUUGUGCAUUGGUAAAAUUUGGGAAUGUUGUGAUUAUGUAAAUUGGUAUAUAUGUGCAUUGGUGGAUUUUGUUGAUGGUUGUGAAUAAUUGAAGCAGGCUCUAAUUGGAUGUCUUACUUGCUUGUGAUUAUACCCUUGGUGAAUCUAUUAAUGAUAAUUAUUUUGGUAAUAGCAAUGAGAUGAGAAUUAUAUAUAUAUAUAUAUAUAUAUGGUUUGAUGAUUUCUUUGCUUACGCUUUGAAAUGAUGAAUUGUAUUUGUUGAGUUGGUUAGGCAAGAAUUUAUGUGAUUUAUAUGAUUGAUGUUAUUGAGUGAUGAGUUUGUGUUGAUGACUUGAUUAGAGAUUGAAUAUGCUUGCAGUGUUAUUAGAGAAUUGUUAUUUAUGCAUAUCUUGAUGAUUUAUUGAAGAAGUAACAUUUAAAUUCUUGAUAUGCCCGUAUCGCUAACAAGAACAAAAUAAAUGUUACUAAAAGGCGAUGAAAUAGUGUAUAUAAUUUAUAUUAUAAAUUUCAAAAUGGUUUGUAAAAUUACUCACUUUGGUGAGUUGCAACAAGAAAUGGAGAAAGAAUGAUAAUUAAAGCAUAAAAAAAACAUCGAAUUUGAACCAUAAUUUUUCUCCUUUGCAUUACUAAAUAGAAAUUGUUUUAUCACUUUAUAAGAAACAAAUUCAUUUUCUCUAAACAAAAAAAAAAAAGAAACAAAUUCAUUUUUUUAAAACUCCAUUUAAAUUGUUUAGCCCUUAGGAGUUCCACGAAGCCAAUCAAACAUCUUAAUAGUACAUCAAUGUUUGUUUAGCUCUUUCGGUUACUCACUUGAUCACUUGUGUUUUCUAAUGAUCUCACAUGAAAAGCUUGAUUCUCAUCAAAUUUCAUUCUUUUUUUAUUAAACUUUUAAUAUAUUUUUAAUUCUCUAUUUAGAUUUUCAUGAUAGAUUAAAGCAUAAAAAAAACAUUGGAUUCGAGCUAUACAUUUUCUCUUUUGCUUAUAAUAAAAAAAAAAUGUUUGAUCAUUUUAUAAGAAACAAUUCCAUGCUCUGGUAACUCCAAUUUUUAACCAUUUGGAUUUCCAUGAAGACGUUCAUAAAAUUGGCACUAUUGGUAAAUGUCUUCUUAAUAGUACAUCAAUGUGUUCUUUUUUGCUUUUUUGUUACUCAAUUGAUCACUUAUAUUUUGUAAAGAUCUCACAUAAAAAUCUUGAUGAUCAUCAAAGUUCUUAUUCUUUUUUAUUAAACUUUCGGUAUUUUUUUUAUUUCUCUUUUAACUUUUCAUAAUAGACAACAAACACAUGUCAAAAUAAAAAUAAUAGUGACGAAUGAUGAAAAGGUUUGGGUAAAAAUAAUGUGUCGAAGACAUUACAACAUAUUUGUUAAGAAAUUAAAAGUAUCAUGUGAUAAUAUUUUUUAUCGACACUGUUAUAUGUGUCGCACCGCCCAAUUCCCCUUUGCCUAGGCUAGUCUUCUCCUGAGGCCCCGGAGUAAGACUCUAGUAGGAGAUUCUGCUUCUACAAUUGUUUAUGGGUGUUUGAUCGAGGGAAAAUGGUGUUUUAAGUUUAAGUUUAUACCUGAUAUGUGUCUCAUUGUCUGUUGACAGGGAAGGUGGCACGUUGGAUCUUGCUAGGUAGUUCUUCUUGAAGAAAUAUAAGAUGAUGACUCCAGUGAUCUUGGAAAGUGGUUCGACCUCUAAUCACUUAGUAAAGUAGUCUACCGUCGUGAUUAAAUACUUUAAUCCCUGAGGGGCUUUUGGGAAAGGUUCGAGGAUAUCCAUUUCCCACCUCGCGAACAGUCAUGGAGAUGACAUUACGUUGAGUUCAGUUGGGGGCGCCAGGUGCAUAUCCCCAUGUCGUUGGCAUUUGUCGUUUGUUUUUAUGUGUUCUUUAGCAUAUAAUAGUCGGAUUAGGCAAGUGUAUCAAAUUGUUUAUCAAGUAAUAAAGUGUAAGUAUAGUAUUGUAUAUCCACAUGGAUUAUCGUUUCGUCCAAAUAAUUUGUGAUACUUAUUUGGUUAACAAAAUCAUAAAAUAAAAGAGUUAAGGGGUUAGAGAUUUGCAAUUUUUAUUUGUUUGCAAUAGAGCAAGUUAACUGUUUUUGGUUGCAAAAAAGUAAGCUGCGGUUAGGAUUCUUCGAAUCCCCCAUUGAUAUUGUUGGAUAUUAAAUAACUAGAAUAUCACGUUUAUUUAUCUUAGAUAGACUAUACAAGUGAUGAGGCUAUUGGGACGUUACUAACCUAGUCAGUCGUCAAGCUACACCUGCUGAUCACACGGUGAUCCUUACGUGUGGGAUCUAUACUAUCUCAGUUGACUAGGUUUAUCCCUCCAAUGUUUGGUUGCAUCUGCUCGUCACACGGUGAUCCUUACGUGUGGGGUCUUACCACCUCAAAGGUAAUUGAAAUCAUAGAAUUAAACUGACUUUCCAAGAUAAUGAAGGUCAAUGUUCCUGUAGGUCUACCCAUCUAUAAAUCUUAGGACACUCAUAGCACACACUCUCUCUCGCUCUUACCUGUUUUUAGUAGUUACCUCCUAGAUUCAGUAGAUUUUACUCAAUAUUAGUAAUGUCACCUCCUAAGUACUUACUACUAGGGUCAACUCGCUCUCGGUAUCUUUCGCUAGUUAUAACUAAUUACUUCCUAGACAUAUACAUAUUAAUAGCAAGAUAUAAAUAUCAAGAUAUAAGCAUCAGGAUAGUAAUAUCAAUAUUAGGCCUUGUCACAACCUAAGUAUCUAAUCUAGGGUUGCGCUACUACAAAAAUUGUUAGUCUGUAUGGAAAAUAAGAUUAUAAUCUAGAGGGGGGUGAACAACGCUUUGAAAAAGUUUUUAGGAGAUUUAGUAAAAAGUGAAUUGAGUUAAAUUGACUACAGGAAACACGCGUGAACAAUCACAACAAUAACCAAAAAGAUAAAACUAUGUGCUAAUAAGAUUCAACGUAGAAUUGAGUGAUUCACAUUACAAAUCUUAGUACAAUCAAAACUUAAUAUGACUCGAACAAUUUUCAAAACUUUACACAAUUUCAAAACCAAACCUAUAUGAAAAUAUAUCAAGCUAUCAAUCAAAAACACAAUGCAUAUGAAAUUGAAGAAUUGAAUAGAAAUCCAACCCAAUUGAUCUAAGCUAAGUACUAAAACCUAAUUCAAUGAAUUAGGUCAACUUUUAACAAAAAAACAACUUAGAUCAAUACAAGUUUCUAACCUAACCGUUAUUCAAUUAACAUAUGCAAUAAUCAAAAAUAAAGAAGAUAAGGAAGAGAGAUAACACCGAUAUUUUUAUAGUAGUUCGUUCUUUUCGUCCUCGCUAGAGCUACGUCUACUCUUCUUGAUGAAGUACACCUUCACCAAGGUCAUCCACAAAUAGUAACAAUGUUGAAUACAAAUGUGUUUACAAGAGUUCCUUGAAAUUAAACUAAUUCUUCAACCCUUAUGUAAACACUCCCCCAAACUUCAAAUAACCUUGGUGCUCAUUGAAUCUUCGAAUCCUUGAUUACUCGUGCACCUCUUCCAACUCUUCACUCAAUUCUUCGAUGCUACGUCCCGUUGAUAGACGUUUGGCAAGUGUACCAAAUACUAUCAAAGUAGUAAAAAUAUCGUUCCCACAAGGACUAGUUUUAAUCUAAAUAAUUCAAUUACGUUGUAAGUUAGGAUAUAUAUAAGUUAUUUUGAUUUGCCACUAGGCAGUUGAUUGGUUUGAUUGCAUAAAAGUAAUGCAAAAAGUAAAGUUGGUUUUAAGAAUAAGAGAGAGAUGAGUUAGGUCUUUCGAAUCAUCUAUGUUCCCCUAAUUGGUAUACUGCACAUAUUCUUAUGAAUGAUUCACUAGUUCCACGAUAGUUAACAAAAUAGUCAUAAUCAAUCCCUUGAGUUAGGACCCUCUUCUAGGGUUACAGCCCCUAAUUCCUUAGGUGGUCUAAUAACCUUUGAAGGUUUAAGCACGUUAACCUAAUAUCACUAAUAAAUGAUUAUCCAUUCCUAGACUAACCAUGUUUAUUAGAACAAUUCCAUUAGGUCUAAGUCGAAAGCUAGGGUCAGUAGUCAUUCGUUCUCACUAAAUCAUGUUUAUAUUUGAUCAGGAUAUAGAAAGCAUUAAGAACAAUUGAAUUGAAUAAAAACUAGAUUGUCAUUCACAAUAAAUAGAGUUUCACAGCAACAUGGUUCAAUUAGGGUUACAAAGAAUAUCUCAGACCUAAUCUCUAAUGGAUUUAGCUACUCAUAAUGGUGUUUACAAAUAACAUAAUCAUUGGAGGAAUCAAUACAUACAUGAACAAGUAAAAAGAUGAAGAAAUCGCCCUCCUAGCCGUCUUGUAGUCUCAAAAUCGCACUUUGCUUUCUUCAAAUCGUAACCCUUGUCUUUGGAAUAGACUUCAGCAUAAAUAGGCACAUAAAUUCGCCUAAAAUCGUGUCACGUUUUAAGUAAAUUGUGACACGUUUUCUUCUGAAUAACAAACAGCUGAAUUAGGGUUUCCUCAAAUCGUGUCAUGUUUUUGGUCUUCUAAAAUCGUGUCACGUUUUUACCAAAUCGUGACACGUUUUCUUCUUUGUAUUUUCUUAAGUUUUUCUGCUCUUUUUGCGGCAUAAGUUACCUUGUAAACUCCAAUUUGUGAUCAAAAUACAUAUAAAAUUACGUAAUGACGAGAUGUCAUCACCCGUAAAUGAAUCCCCUUCGAUUGCAAGAACGGUUAGAAAGACCCCCAAGACCUUGGGAGGUGGAAUGAUGUGUAUCAAUGAAGAUUUGAAACAAUUCAAAAUGCCCAUGAUGAAGGUUAAUGCGAUUCAAAAUAUUGUGAAUCGAUUCAUGAUAAGUCAUAAACUUUUGUGAUACGAUUCACACAAUUUUGAGACGAUUCAAAAUGAUGUGAAUCGAAUCACAUAAGGUCAUAAACUUUUGUGAUACGAAAUGAGAUGUAGUUAACUGAGACACAAGUAAGUUUGGGUGCUUUAACAAACUAAGACACGACAAGCAAAUAAUCAACAUGCUAGACUAGAAACACUAGAUUGAUAAGUAAAAGAACCAACAUCAUCAAAAUGACUAGCUAGUGGCUUCAGAAAUAAACUAAAUUCCUAAUAAAAUUUAAUAACAAACAAAAAAUAAAUAAAAUUUAAAUGACAUUAAAUAAAAUAAAUAUCAAACAGAAAUAAAUAGAGGUUCAUCUUAGAACUCUAACCUAAAAAGAAUUAGUUAUACAUGGUAACUAAAAACAAAUUACUAAAGAUAAAAACAUACGCUAGAAAAUCAAGGAGAAGAUAGAAACUCCUCGGAAGCUCUAGAAUUUCCUUUCUCUUGAACUGCUCCAGUUCUAUACGAGAAUUUUUGAAUGAGGAAGUCUGAUAUUUAUAGUGAGAGUUUCUACCUGUGUUUGGGUUAAAAGCGCGGGAUUUACCCAUAAAAAAGCAAGAAAAGACGCUUUCACCCGCACAUUUUGGAUGCACAGGGUGCACAACACAUGCCCUGGGCGCAUGUGAGUGCCCUAGUGGCCAUACCCUAGGUGCUGGGCUUUCUGCCACAUUGCCCUAGGCACAUGGUGCGUGCCCCAGCUGUCAGGGCCUAGUUUCUCCGUUUUUCCGUCGUUUUAGGUGUUUCUCUUCAAAUAACUUGUCUCAGGACCUGGGAACAGAAUUCCUCCCACUGUAAAUUUCAUGAGACCUCUUGAAUCUUUAUUCUUGGUCGUCCCAAAGUCUUCACAAAUCUUCGGAUGUUCUUGAUUUGCCGAUUUACAUGAUUUCUUCGUGAAUUACUUCAAUAAAAUCCUAAAAUUGCUAUGUUUCGGGAAAACUAUAAUUACAUACUCAAAUAUAGAAAAAAUUACAAAAGUCUCAAAACCAUAGGAAACCGCUCUAUGACUGAAAAAAUAUGUUAAGAAUAACGUAAGAUGACAUGUCAUCGGCGUUUAAUACACAAGUCAGACACGUGGAAAGUAAAAUGAACAGCCAUCGCAUCAUGAACGUUUCGGUUCAACGCGUUAAAUGCUAACUGCUCCCACUAACUCACAAUCGAGCGCCACCUCCCUACGGAUGGAAUUAAAAUUUCCUGACAAAACGCAUCGAGCACCACUAAACCCACUUCCGCGUGCGCCCCGUUGAGCGCCUUCCUUCACAGAUGAAACCAUUGCGCCAUAAAGGCAUCACUGGCUUGGGGGAACUGUUCUGGACCUAUCAGAAGACCAAUCACACGUUAACAUGUGGAACAGCUUACAUUGUCUUAAGGCACCGCGCUUGAAGGAGCAUGCCAAUCUAAGUACACCGUGCCGCACAGAAGCGCGCCCCCGCACGAGGAUCACCUUACAUGUGUCCUCCUCCGUCCCUAAUCACACGCUACAUAACCCGGAGACGGUUAUGACCAAUACGUGUCUAUAUAAGGGUGAAUUUGCUUCACCCUCAAGGUAUGAUUCACUUUUCACAACAGUUUUUACACACUCUUUCUCAAUUCCAUUACUGACUUGAGCGUUAGAGUGCUAACGUGCCUAUAUGCACCUUUCGUUCCACCGUGAAGACUUAACACCGCCGUACUGGAAACCGUUACCGUCACACCGAAGCAUUAUUCGCCACUGCUGCCACUCAUUUGUUCUCACCAGACAGAUCAGCCUUAGAUCCGGACAUAAGGGUCCAAAUUACUUCCUAGGAUCAUUAUUCUCAUCUGGUCUUGUGUAAGGGUUAUAUCAUGCACAUUAUGAGUCUUUUACAAAGAGUCAUUUGAAACAUUUCUUGGUUUGGACUUCGAUCCAAACAACAACAAUAAUAAUAAUAUUAAUAGAGAUAGAGAUAAAGAUAUUAAGAAAAGUGAUUAGUGAAUUUGAUGUACUCAUUUCUUACGUGGAUUUUCCUAAAAUACAUUCAAUGUCUAACUUCAAUUUUUCAAAUUCAAAGAUAGAAAAAUAGUGUUAAUAAAGAGGCAUGUUGGGAGUGAUAAAAACCUUAAACGACGUUCGUUUUAAAAUGGAGGUAGUAAUCAAUGUAUCUAGAAAAUUGAUUAGAAAUAAAAAAUGCUACCAAGUGUCCACAAAACACUCUUUAAGGACCAUAAAGAUAUUGUUGAAUGCAAAAGGUACCCUUUUCGUUGUUGAAGGGAUGAGGAGUUAUUUCACCUUUUAAUGUCUUCACCGAAAUGACACUUUCCAAUGGCAGUGCCUAUGCUCAGAAAGUGCACAUGAAUGACAUGAAUGCUCUUUCAAUCUCCUCCAACCCAACUUCAUGCUUUUCUUCAAUGCCUUAUCGUUUUAUGUCAGCUCGAGCCAAAUGCAUGCGAAAAUGGUACUACUAGUAAAUAAAUUCAGUCAGUGAAUGGUUUAAAUGCAGUGGGACACAUAAGAGAUCUAGAACCUGCUCCAUCAUUAUUGCCCAUUGCUCAUUCACUUAAAAUGGAAUGUUUUCAAAGACAAUCUUUCCUAAUUUUCUUAGAACUCAUAUACUGUUAGUUUUUUAUUUUACCGUCAAUGUUAACUUGUGCCUUAAAGGAUGAGUUAAUUAAUGAACUAAAAUAGUACUCUCUCCGUCCCUUAAUAUUUGAAACAGUUGACCUUAUUAUAUAUGACAAUACAUAAUUUUGAGUUUAAAUAUAUUGAAUAAUGUAUUAGAAAAAUUUAUGAAAAUUUGAUAUUUUAAAAAUACUCAUCGAGACAAAUCUAACGACAUCUUAUAUGCUAUUAUUUAUCUUUGUCUAUUAAUAGAAAAAUAUGGUCAAAAUAAACUAGGUCAAAAUUACACAUUAUCAAAUGGAUCAUCUAUUGCGGGAUGGAGGGAGUAAUAAAUAAAAUUUAGGGGGUGUUAACUUACUCCCACACAAAAAAAUGAAUGAGUACGUUAGCAAGUCUACUCCCACUUGUUUUUGAUUAAAACAUCCACAUGUUACUUUUUAAAAUGGUUCUAAGUGAAAUAUAAUUGAGUAAUUUCGAAAUUUCUGUGGUUUCUCAAUUGUCACAUGUUCAGUGUUCCCUUUGAUUCAUUCUUUUUCCUGAUAAGCCACAUCCUGUCUUCUUUGACCAAAAAUUACCACUUCGAAUUGUUUUUCCUUCUUUUUCAAUUGGAAAAGUGAUUUUCACAUAUUUCCCGUCUUCUUUCGUUUCUUUUUGUGAUUCCGUCGUCUCUGCACGAUUCUGUUUGUUUUUAUUUCCGUCUUUGUGCGGUGUGUUUUUUAUUUCAUACUUAGUGUGGUGUUUAUUUGAUUAAGGUUAAAAGAUUAGCUUUGAGAAAGUGCAUAUUCGAUCAUUGACUUUGGCGUCGUCAACGUUGCAGAUCCGGAGACAUAAGUAUUCCGGAGACUUGAAUUUAGUCAUAUUUGUAGACAUAAGUACUUUGUCAUUUUAUGCUAUUAACAUGGAUGAUGUGAGUUUGUUCGUAAAUUCAUCCUUUUUGUUUUUAGCAACUUUGAAUUUGUACUGGGUCGAUGCACUCUAUCAAUUUGAAUGAAGAAUAUCGUUUAUUUUUUUUAAAAAAAAAAAAAAAAAAAACUAACAAACUAGUAACUUUAUAUUCCUAAUAGAGAAUGGGAAGAGGAUCCGAAUUCAUUUUCUUUACACGUUCCCUUACCUCAGUCGUCUUUGCACAACUUUGUUUUGAUUUCUCGUCUUUGUGCGUUGUGUUUUUUAUUUCCCGUCUUAGCGCAAUGUUUAUUUGAUUCAGUUUGAAAGAUUAGUUUUGAGCAAUGCAGAUAUGAUUAUUGAAUUUGGCGUCGUCAACGUUGCAAAUCCAGAUACAUGAGUAUUCCGAAGACUUGAAUAUGCUCAUAUUUGUAGGCAUAACUACUUUUCCAUUUAUGCUAUUAACAUGGAUGUUGUAAGUUUGUUCGCAGAUUCAUCCUUUUUUGUUUUAAACAACUUUAGAUUUUUAUUAAAUUGAUGUACUCUAUCAAUUUGAAUGAAUAAAUAUCUUUUAUUUUUGUCAAAAAAAAAUAAACUAACCAACUAGUAACUUUAUAUACCUAAUAGAAAAUGGGAAGAGGAUCCGAAUUCAUUUUCUUACACAUUCCCUAACCUCAAUUAUUUCUUAUUCUAGAAAAUAUAGAACUGAAGCUUCUUGAUAAAGUUAAAUUACUCUCGUUUUGAUGGAUGAAAGUAAGAAAGUUUAGCUUUGAUUUCGAUACUAAUGAUUGGUGGGUUAAUCCUACAAUGUUUUUGGGUAACCUUCUAGUUUUUAUUUUAGUCUUUAGUGUUAUCUUUAUUUUUAUAAUGAUUUUUAGUUCUUUGGGUUUUUCCUUUUGCACACGUUGUGUUUAGAGUGAUGGUUGGUUUAUAUAUAUAAUUCUAUUUUAGCUUAUUAAAAAAAAUAGAACUCAAUAAUUAUUAUUAUUAUUUUAUGAUUCAAUUAUUUCUUUUCUAGGAGCUACUAUUCAUCUAUUAUCAUUGCAAAUGUUUAUUGAACUCAAGAUAAGGUAGUAAAGAAAAACAUGAAAGCAAUAAAUAAAUAAUCCUUGAUAACAUAACACGAGUCUGGGUAUGCUUCAUUUAUAUGUGUCUAACUUGUUGAUUUUUUUUUUACCGACUACUAUCUUCUUUAUUUUUUUUUUUAGAGCCCGACAACUAUCUUCUAUUUAAACCCCCUAACACAUUACUCAAAUCUCCAAAUAGAAACUCUCAUAUUACUAUUUACCUCUCCUCUCUAUCCAAUCAAAAGAAUCUCUUCCCCCUUCUCUCUCCUACUCAUAACAUCAUGUCUUGCCAAAUAACAUUCACAUGUCUUUGUUUCUAGUGAAAAAAUAAAAUCAAAGAUAAAAUCAUUUCAAACUUUUUGCUUGAAAUCGGUUCUCCACUAACAUCUACCCUUCUCUCUUUUAUCCACACACCAAACUCAUCUUCAACUAGUAUUCACAAGUUUCUCACAAAAAAAAUCCUAAGCUUAACCAUGAAUCCUCUAAUUCUCUUGCUUAUUUUACCUUUCUUUACUCAGUUUUUGGAAGUUGAACCUGCAAGACCAAAAGUGCUAGGGAAACCAAGAUUUCCUAACUCUCAAAUCAGUGUGAUGGGUUUUGUUUAUUGUGAUUUCUGUUCAAACAAUAGCUUUUCUAGACAUAGCUACUUCUUGCCAGGUAAUAAUUCUUAAUAACCUCUAGUGUUAAUUGUUUGCAUGUAUUAGUUAGACUUAGUAGUACAGAAAGAGUUCAAAUAGAGUGUUUAAUGUUAAAUUCUUUAAAAAAAACAUUGGAGGAGAAAUUAUUACAAAUUAAAACCAUAGGAAUGACAAUUUUAAAUUAUUUCUAUUGCGAUUUAAAAAAUUAUAAAGUCAAACUCUUAUCAGUCAACAGAAACCUCGUAGAUUUUCAAAAAAAAAAUGUCAUUAAUAAUCAUUUUAUAACUUUUUAUAAACGAAUUAAAAUUACAAAGUCAUACUCUUAUUCGUGAAAAGGUUACAUCAUUAACUUAUUUUCCAAGGACAAAAUUGGGGAAGUAGCAAACUAUAUUAUAUUGUAAAUUACAGUGAUAUAUAUUCAUUUUAUGACCAUUUCUACGAAAUCUAAACUAUUACCACUGGUUCUCGUGAGUUUAACCCAGUUGGUGGAAACAAUGCAUAAUAUAUGUAAAGUCUGGAGUUCGAACCCUGAACACCACAAAAAAAAACUAUUACCACCGAGUUGACAACAUAGAAUUAGUAUUUACUUGUUAACACAUUUUUAUUUCAUAAUUAUGUUCAGGUGCUGAGGUGAAAGUAGAUUGCAUGUUCAAAGCAAUUUCAGCCAAAACAACAGAGCAGAUUACACUGUCAGUGAACAGAACAACAAAUAAGUAUGGAAUGUACAGAAUUGAAGUACCAUCAGUUGAUGGAGUGAGAUGUGCUGAAGGAACUGAAGUGAUGUCUUCUUGCCAAGCAAAUUUAAUAGGGAGUUCAACCACUGCUUGCAAUGUUCCUGGAUACAAAAGCACUGCUAAUGUGAUAUCAGUCAAAGCAAGGAAAACAAAUCUAUGCAUAUAUAGUCUUAAUGCUUUAAAUUUUAGACCAUCUAAGAAGGACACUGGUCUAUGUGGUAAUUGAUAAAAAAUAAGGAAGAUUAUAUAAUUAGCCUUGUUCUUGGCAACUAGUAAUAUUUUUUGGAGCCUAUUGAGGGCAUAUAUGUCAUUUCUCAAUCUCAUCACCUUCAUUGAAUUAUUGUUAUAUCAUGUUAUGCCAAAAAGAAUAACAUGCAUGUAGAGUUUGAGUGUAUUCGAUUUAUGCAGUUUUUAUAGAAAAAUGUUAGUAGUUGUUAAUACUCCAUCCGUUUUUAAAUAUAAAUAAAAUUCACAUUUUUUUUCAUUCAUUUAAUGAUGUAUGUGAUCACAUACAUCAUUAAAUGAAUGAAUCUAAAAAGUCAAUUUUGCUUAUACUACCUCUGUCCCUAAUUAUAAGGCCCUUUUGAAAAAAUAAUGGGAAUUAAGAUAGUAGAUAUUUGUAUUAAAUAUGUUUGUAAUUAUUAUUGUUUUUACAAUUUUAUCCUUUAAGAAAGAGGGUUGGCUUAUGUUUUCAACAUUCUAUUUAUUGCUGAUUGAAGAAAAAGAUGUAUAAUAAAGAGGGGCAUGUAUGUAAAAAAAUAAUUAAUGUAGUUGGAAAUAGAAAAUGAGUCUUAUAAAAAGGGACAAAAAAAAUUCUCAAAAGGGUCUUAUAAUUAGGGACGGAGAUAGUAUUUAAAAACGGAGGAAGUAUGUUACUCCCUCUGUCCCAAAUUGUAUGUCACUUUAUGAAAAAAAAUUGUCCCAAAUUAUAUGUCAUUUUACAAUACCAAUAAAAUAUUAAUGUUACUUUUCCUUACUCUCUCUUCUUCCAAUUCCUUCAUUUAUCUUUCUAAUUUCAUUUAUUAAGGACAAUUUUAUAAAACAAAUCAUAAUAUCUCUUUACCACAUAAUAUUAAUUACAUUUCUUAAUAUGUGUGAAAUGUCCAAAACGUCGUACAAUUCGGGACGGAGAGUAUAUUAGUAGUUCGAGUUUGAACAAUGUUUUCUUGAAACCCGCUUUGUUGACCUAGCUCAACUACUUGAGCUACGUGUUAGUUAUAUUUAAUUCAUGUAGUUGAUUGGGAACAGGUGAAAUGUUCUUGAUGUAUACUAGAUUUUUGAUCCGUGCUCUGCUCGGGUUUAUUGUAAAGGGAUUGACAUACGAAUAAUAAAAUGAAAUAUAUAAUUAGUAACGGUGAAAAAAAUAACACGCGGUAAUUCAUAGUAGACAAAAUAAAACACUUCAUAAAAUAUAUGAAAUCUGAAAAUAUUAUAAAAGAAAAUUCAGUAAUCCUAUCAAUAAUUCGGUAAAAGAAAUAUGAAAAUUUUAGUACAUUGGCAUGCAUUUUCAUCACACAUUGCGAAAUACUUCCUCAUAUACGACAUUAGACGUUACAUUGGUAUCUUCACCAUCAUCAUCAAUGAUCAAUAUCUUUAGUCCUUCUCUAGAUGUAACUUUUGAAACAGCAACAUAGAAAUGUCCAUGAGAAAAUACAGGUGUUGGUAGAUAUACACCAACAUGCUUAAGUGACUGCCCUUGACUUUUGUUAAUUAUCAUUGCAAAUGAUACAGUCAAAGGAAAUUGUCUUCGUUGAAACUUAAAGGAAAUCCUGACAUCUAAAGGCAUAUAGAUAGCUUGGAUACAAAAACGUAUUAAAUAAGUGUAGAAAAUAUUGUGAAGAAAAAAAGGCAACAUGAUAGGAAUGAAAUAAAGGCAUAAAAUUGGUUUUAAAAAAAAAAAGUGUACAAAAUAUUGUCAAAAAAAAAAGGCAUGAAAUUAGUGGGAUGAAUUUUUCUAGUACUGUGUACAAAAAAAAAAGGCAAGAGGAUAGAAAUGAAAUUGGUGCGAUACAUUUUUUUAGUAUUAAAUAAGUGUACAAAAUAUUUCCUUAAAAAAAUAAAGUGUACAAAAUAUUGUCAAAAAAAAAUUCAAAAAAAAAAGUAUAAAAUAGAAGGUAUCAAACGUAAUCAUUGAUAUGUUCAUAGUUUCUAGAACAAAUGUGCAACAUCAAAUAAGUGAAGAAAUUAUUUCCUUCAAAAAAAAAAGCAAGAGGAUAGGAAUGAAAUUGGUGCAAUGCAUUUUUUUUAGAUGAAAUUUGUUAGGUUAAAUAAUUGCAAACCUAAUAAAGCAAAUGAGCAGGAAAAAAUUAGGUUAAAUUGCUGCAGACAUAACAAAAUUAAUAAAUAAGGAUAAGAGUAUAAAAUAUUUUCUUCAAAAAACAAAGGCAAGAGGAUAAGAAUGAAAUUGGUGCGAUAAAAGAAUGAAAUGUGUUAGGUUAAAUAAUUGCAAACCAAAUAAAGCAAAUGAGCGGGAAAAAAUUAGGUUAAAUUAUUGCAGACCUAACAAAAUUAAUAAAUAAGGAUGUAAUAGUACUCCCAUUGUUCCUUUUUAAUUGUUUUAUUUUGACUUUUUACACAAAUCAAGACAACAAAUACUUUUACUACUUUUGAUAUAACAAUUUAUCUUUUUCCUAUAAUAUCCUUAAUCAUUUAAUACUUCAUUUUAUAUAUUUCUAUGUGCAAUAAAUAUAUAAGGGUAGUAUAGAUAAAGCCACAUUAAAUGAUACAUUGAAUUUUGAAAACGACAGUUAAUUAGAAGCAAAAUUUAUAUUAAAAAGUGACAAUUAUAAAGGAAUGGAGGAAGUAUAUAAUUUCUCUUGUGAAAUUAUAAAGUUAUGCAUGUCAUAAAUAUCAUCAUUUAUAUAAAUUGACACUUUUCUCCUAGAAAAAAAUAGAAAUAAUUGACAAUUUGAGAGAAGAGAGAGAGUGCACGUUGGUCUCUUAGUUUAUCAACUUCAUCCCUUUAGGGACCAAUUUGCAUAGAUGAGACAUUCAUAAACCAUGACAAUGCAAGAAACAUAUCACAUGAACCCAAUUAUGCUUUUACUCAAUUACUAACUAUAUGUUAAGACAAUUGCUUUAUUAUGCUCCAGGAAAUAUAUGCUCCCAAACUAUUAUUUGAGAACUCUAAAUUGACAAUUACUAAUGCAAUGUAUAUUCCUGUUUUCCAUAACCGCAAUACUUGAUUAAGUCAUGAAAUCUUGAUGUAUAAUAUAAUAAUUAUCCUUAGGUAUAAUAAUAAAUAGGUUUAAUAGCAGUUUUGAUCCCUUAUAUUUUAAGAAGUUGCGAUUUUGACUCCAUAAUUAAAUAAACUACAAAACCACCACCUAAGUAUUGAUUUUUUUGCAGUUUUGGCCCCCCAAGUCAAUUUUGACCUAGUCAAUACACACGUGGACGCCACGUGUGUAUUUUUAUAUUUUUUUAAUUAUUUUUUAAUUUUUUAAUUAUUAAAAAAAUAAAAAAUUAUUUGUUUUUUAAUAAUUAAAAAAAAAAUUACACAAGUGGCGUCCACAUCAGCUUUGACUUGGUCAAAAUUGACCCAGGAGCCAAAACUACAAAAAAGUCAAUACUUAUGAGGCGAUUUUGUAGUUUAAUGGACACAUAGUCCAUGUGAAAUCUAUAGUUCAUAGAUUUAAUGUUAGUACUUUUUUGAAUUAAUUCUCCCAGCACUUUGUGGACUUGGUACGUCAUUAUUUAAAAUGACGGGUUUAGUUAUUCCUGGUUGUUUUUUCACAUGUUUGUGCAUCAUCUACAUCUAUAUACUAAUAUAAAAAGAAAUAAUAUCCCUUGAAUUUACCAUUUUGCCCCUAUAAGGGGCAAUUUGGUAAAUUACUAAUUUGUUGAGUUUUUUUUUUGAAGGUUGGCCUAUGAAUUCCAUUUUUACCCCUAACCAAUUUUUUUAAUUAUCUUUUAAUUAUUUUCUAAUUUUUAAAUUUUUUUCUCCCAAAUUCAGUUGCUUCUACAUUGCCGUUGUGGGAGAUUAAGGUAUCGUUUGACCUGACUUUUUUCAAACUUCUCUACAUUUUUAAGGAGAAGUUAGGUCAAACACAAUAUCAAUUAAGUACUUACUAAAAAAAGAAUAUUUUUUGAACGCAUAAAAUUGAAUGGAAUGAGCUUUGACCAGAAGUUGUUGAAUGUUAUUUUAAAAAACUACUUCUCAACAAUUUAUUUCACAAACACCUCUUUUCCACUCACACUGGGAACCUUUUCUUUAUUUUUUAAUAUUAUAUUUCAAUAUGUUUUUUUCUUCCAUUUAACUUUAUUUUUUUCAACCGUUCCAUUUAAUUUUUUAAGGAGGUUCCAUUUAAUUUUUUCUUUUAUGCAAAGAAAUUUUAUUAUCUUUUUAUCAUUUAUAUAUUUAAUUUCAAUAUCGUUUAAUCAUCACAACCUCACAAAUAUCUUAACCAAUUUUUUUUAAUUAUUUUCUAAUUUUUAUAUUUUUAAUAACUUUUAUUUAUUUUCCAAUUUUUAUAUUUUUAACUAUUUUUCAAUUUUUUCCUCCCAAAUUCAGUUGCUUCUACAUUGCCGUUGUGGGAGAUUAAGGUAUCGUUUGACCAAACUUUUUUCAAACUUCUCUACAUUUUCAAGGAGAAGUUAGGUCAAACACAAUAUCAAUUAAGUACUUACUAAAAAAAGAACAUUUUUUGAACGCAUAAAAUUGAAUGGAAUGAGCUUUGAUCAGAAGUUGUUGAAUGUUACUUUAAAAAACUACUUCUCGACAAUUUAUUUCACAAACACCUCUUUUCAACUCACGCUGGGAACCUUUUCUUUAGUUUUUAAUAUUAUCGUUCAAUAUGUUUUUUCUUCCAUUUAAUUUUAUUUUUUUCAACAGUUUCAUUUAAUUUUCUAAGGAGGUUCCAUUUAAUUUUAUCUUUUUUUUCAAAGAAAUUGUAUUAUCUUUUUAUCACUUAUGUAUUUAAUUUCAAUAUCGUUUAAUCAUCACAACCUUACAAAUAUCCUAACCAAUUUUUUUUAAUUAUUUUCUAAUUUUUAUAUUUUUAAUAACUUUUAUUUAUUUUCCAAUUUUUAUAUUUUUAACUAUUUUUCAAUUUUUUCUCCCAAAUUCAGUUGCUUCUACAUUGCCGUUGUGGGAGAUUAAGGUAUCGUUUGACCCGACUUUUUUCAAACUUCUCUACAUUUUUAAGGAGAAGUUAGGCCAAACACAAUAUCAAUUAAGUACUUACUAAAAAAAGAACAUUUUUUGAACGCAUAAAAUUGAAUGGAAUGAGCUUUGACCAGAAGUUGUUGAAUGUUAUUUCAAAAAACUACUUCUCGAAAAUUUAUUUCACAAGUAUCUCUCUUCAAUUCACGUUGAGAACCUUUUCUUUUAUUUUUUUAAUAUUAUAUUUCAAUAUGUUUUUUUCUUCCUUUUUUUUUUUAACCGUUGCAUUUAAUUUUUUUUAAUGAGGUCCCAUUUAAUUUUAUUACCUUUUUUUCAAAGCAAUUUUAUUAUCUUUUUAUCAUUUAUAUAUUUAAUUUCAAUAUCGUUUAAUCAUCACAACCUCACAAAUAUUUUUAUUCACGCUGUCAUUUAAUGAUACCAAAUAUUUUUAUUUUCUUUCUUCAACCUCACAAAUACACACACACACAUUAGUGUUUAGAGUAAUACUUUAUGUGUGUCUGAUUUUUUGUUACGCUACUGGGUAUAAUAUUUUUUGGCGUUGCAAAAUGCGUAUGAUUAUUUUUAUAAAAUUUUGAUUUUAAUUAAAAGUAAAAUUGUAGAUGUCUUUUCUUCAAAAAAAAGGUGUAGAUGUCUUUUUUUCAAAAUUGUAGAAAGAAAACAUAAUAAGAUUUUAUCAAAGAAAAGAAAGAUUAUGAUAGCUUUGGGAGAGAAAUUCCAAUUAGUUAGAGUAAUUUUGUAGAAGACUAACUAAUAAUCACAAGCUGAUUUGGUUAAGAGUGAAUUAUAGUUUAGUUCUACUAUUGUUCAAAUCCAACUUAAAUUAACCCUUUUUAAAACAUUUAAUCAAUUGAUAAGAAACGUGUCGCGAAAAUGGAAAAUAGAAAGAAAAAAAACAUUCAAUUGAGGUAUGUAUGAUUUAGGUGGCCAUAGAAAUCUUCUAACAAAAGCAGUAAGCAUCGAGAAGUUGGAUGAUAUAUGAGAAGCGUGUGCAGAGGUGUGCAGAGGAAAGACGAAGAGCGGUGUUUUUUGUUUUAAUUGACUGCAUAGCUAUUGAUGAAGUAACCUGUUUAGUUUAGAUUCAAUGGUUAUUAUUAAGUCCUCUCAUCUCUCAUAAUAACCACUCAUCUCAUUUGAAAUGCCAUAUAUAUAUAUAUAUAUAUAUAUAUAUAUAUAUAUAUAUAUAUAGAGAGAGAGAGAGAGAGAGAGAGAGAGAGAGAGAGAGGCCAUAUCAAGUGAGAGGUGUAAUUAUAAUGAGAGGAUGAGAGGAAUUAAUUUGGACAUUUGGAUCAAAAUCAACGCUUCAGAUUUAAUUGUUCUUUAAAAAGGGUCAUUCACUACAACCUCUACCUUUCAUCUUCUCCACUCUCCCCUACCCUCAUCUCCUUCUGCUUCUACAUUUUUCCUCUCAUCAAUAUCAAAUAAUUAAAUUAAGAAUCACCUUCAGCACUUAUCUCUAGUGUGUUACUGUUGCAACUUUUUUCAAUUUUUGGGCUUCGAUGAAUUUGUUCAGUUUUUUUAUUAAGAAAGAAUCACUUAAUUAGAAAAGCAUUUGAUGAAAAACGAAAGAGAUGAAGGAAUAGAGGUGAGAUACAAAGAGAUUAAAUCCCUAAUUCUUGAAUCUGAGUUCUACGAACACUAAAAAAGAAAUCAAAGAGAGCUUUUUACUAAAAAGAAAUCGAAGGUGAGAGACAGAGAGGUUCAACGAUUUUGAAUGGGCACAACAAAAUCAACCAUUAGUUUUUUUAUAUAUCAGAUUGAAAAUCUGUGAAAUAAUUGAGGGGAAACAGUCUAUGAAUGAACAAGGAAAAUGAAUGAAUUGAGAAGAAGCAGUCUGUGAAAUAAUUGAAAAUCUGUGAAAUAAUUGAGAGGAAACAGUCUGUGAGUAAUGAAUGAAUAUUGGAAUGGACAUUAAUCAGUGUUUUGUUGGACGGAAGUACAAGAAGGAAGAUUCUGGAGAUGUUAUUGUCAAUUGCCAUUGAGAAUUGAGAGAGAGAGAGAGAGAGAGAGAGAGAGAGAGAGAACAAGGAAGGAGAAACGUUUGAGACAAAGGGAGCGCGUGGAAAGAAAAAAUAAAGUCACUUGCCAUUUAAAGUGCACCUUUUAAUGUGAGCCAUUCAUUUUAAUCUAAGGGUCAUUAUUUGUCCUCUCAUCCUCUCAUUAUAACACUCCUCUCAUUUGAUACACCCUAUAUAUAUAUAUAUAUAUAUAUAUGUAUGCAUAUUUUUUUCUUAUUCAAAAAAACUAAACAUAUAUGUUUCCAGGUGGAUUCUAAGAUGAGGGUUCAACUAGGUCCCUCACUGGUGGAACAUGAACAAAAUACCCUUAGAUUUAAUUAACGGUUGAUCUUGAUUAAAAAUAAUAAUGUAAACAUGUAUACAUUUCCGCAUACAAUCCUGCCUCUAUCUCAUCCCAUGGUCAUUAUUGGUGACUACUAACUAAGCAGGAGUUGAAUUGAAGUAACCACACUGUAUCUCUAACUUCUCGAUCGACGACAAACUCAUUGGAAUUGGUAAUUGGAUUAUCAGAGAUUGAUGAAUGAAUUUUUCGAAGAACUAUUCUAUUUUGUUAUUAUUCCGCAGUUAAGUUGCUUUUUGAUUUUGGGAAAUGCUUUUGUUUUUUUUUUUUUGAAGGAGGGAAAUGCUUUUGUUAUCUUCUCGAUGGUAGUAACUGUCACCUCAUGUCCCAAUCAAAGAGAGAUGUAACAAAAUAGUGGUACACCAGAUUUCCAGAAGAUAUGUAAUUCCAUAUUUUAGUUGUGCCUUUAAUCAAAUCUUGAAGCCUAUGUUGGGCGUUGGAGUGUGUCUUUGGUUAAAAUAAUCUACCAUGGCUUGUAGUUUGAUGCAUCAAACAUUAUUUUGUCACAAUUAUUUUUUACAGGCAACCAUCUUGUUUUGAUUUUUGUUGGAGAAAAAACCAAACAAAGAAGAUGAUCAGAGGAUUGUGUAUGGAAAUGAACACAUAUUCUUAAUUUUAUUUUCAACUAAUCUAAACCUUUGAUUAAAUCCAACGUUAUUUUUCUAAUGGACCACCGGUGAGGGACUUAAUUGAACUAUCACAGUAGAAUUCACCAUGUUUCUAUGACACCAACAAAUAUAAUAUCAUAUAAUAUAAAUUUCAACAUUUAUAAUAGUAAUUGUUUUUAAGAAAUCAUCGGUCUUCUUCAUGAGAUUGUCAAGACAAUGCCAAUUGAAACUAGAAAGAAACUGUGUAUGAACAUUGUGUUGAAAGAUAAAAGGUAUUAUUUUCUAAUUUGCCAGCAUAAGAUGAUAGGAUUUUGUAUAAGUUUGAUAAUGACCUGAAAGAUGUCUUUCCUUAUGCAGUGAGAAUAUAGUUGAUGUAACACUAUGGUAAAAAUAUUUCGAAGCUUUAUCAUUUACCAUCUAUUUACCUUGAGUUCUUUGCUUCCAUUUUGUAGUCAAUGACAACCCAAAUUUAUGUAACAAUUGGUCAGGUUCGAGGCUGCUCAUCAACCUACAUUAUCCGGUUGUUGAGAAGUUUAAGACUUAGUAAGUUUGCAUUAUUAUUUCACAAUCUGAUUUGAUUGUUUUUUGACCAUGUUUCUUGAAUUGUUGUCGUGACCUUAACACUUCUCAAACUCAGAGUCAAAGCAUCAGUCAGAACUUAAGUCAGAGUUCGGCUUCUUCUCAAUGUACUUCGUACAACGAUUUUUUCAAUCUGUCUCAGGUUAGGCCAAUUGUUGAAUUUAUAAACUUAGUCAAGGUCUGCUUUUUUUAUGCAUAAACAUGCUUUGAAUUUUUUUACGCACAAAUUAAAAAUACAUAUUGCAUUAUUUUUUAUUUCAUGUGCAUAAUUUGUGUUAGGAUACAUAUUGCAUCACUAUUUGGAAAGCAACUAAAUUCAAUCCUAACCAGUUUGGAUGAUAUUAUGAGAGUUGCACCAAAUGUUCGAAGACAUCAUUGUCAAAUGGUGUUAGCUAUAGAUGCACAUGCGGGAGCGAUACUUAAUUUUCAUCUGUUUCAACAAUGUUAAUUGGUCAACGGGGUUCAUAUAAUGCACAUGAAUGUAUUUAUCUACCCUUUUUAGGAAGAUAAUAGAAAGAUAAAUUAGAAGUCAUGAUACAUUUUCUUUAGCUUAAAAUCAGUUAUUCUACCUUUAUUUUAUAAAUUAUAUGUAACUAUAUUCGCAUAUGUCUUAUCCAUGUUAAUAUGCAUUAGACUAAUAUUGUUGUUAUUUCCUUGUUUAGCAUUUCCCAAACGAGGUGUCAAGAACAAUUCUAAAAGGAAAGCGAAAAACAAUCACUCUCAUUGAUGAUCAGACACAGAGAAAAUAUAAGUGUCGCCUCAUUACCGCCGUAAGAGAAAGCUAUGAAAAAUACUUGGGUGGACAGUGGUUCAAUUUCUGCAAAGAACGUGUGAUUGAAGAAGGUGGUAAGCUCAUCUUUGAUCUCGAAAAGUCAUCGAAGAACUUGCAUGUUCGAGUUGUUCCAAAGUAGAUCUUUGCUGCUGAACUAUUUGAACUUCUACUAUUUUGACGCAUCGCUUUGGACUGUAAUCGUAAACUAUCUUGACUUUGGGAUGCCAUUUGUUCUUUUCAUUUUGUCUGAUGUAAAUAUUGGCAAAAAUUACUUUUUGGUUAGUCUAUGACACUUGCAGCAUUUUUUUAUAAACCUAACUAUUAUGUAACGUUAAUCUGCACAUUGUUGGUUCCUUCAUUGAUUCCAAUUAAUAUCAAGUUAAUUAUAAUGUUGUUUUCCUAAUCUCUUGAACAAAAUAGAACAUGUUCUUUUCCUAUAACAAAUCUUUAUAAUGCUUUGGUAAAUGUUUUAGAAAUGUACUUAUAUAUAUAACAUCUAAUUAACACUGAAAUUUGUGUUGUACCUAGCACUUCCCAAAUGAGAUAUCAAGGACAUUUCUAAAAGGAACAGGGAAAAAAUCACACUCAUCGACAAACAAACUCAAAAAAGGUAUAAGUGUCGCUUGAUAACGAUAAAGAGAGCAAGUUACGAAAAAUACUUAGAGGUAGGUGAUAAGCUAAUUUUUUAUCUAGAGAAGCCACCUAAAAAUAUGCACGUUCAAGUCGUUCCCAAAUAAAGAUUUGGUGUUCAUGAUCUGCACUUUCAACAUACCACCUUAAUUCUAAUCCUAGACAAGAUUAUCUUCACUCACCGAUGCUACUUCUUUGUUUGAUUUCAUCUGAUGUAAAUAUGGGUAUCAAUCCUUUUUUGGUAACUCUACAACAACAACACUCUUUUUUAUAAUUUUGGAUAAUAUGUAAUCAUAAUUCACACAUCAUUGGUUCCUUUUUGGUUCCUUUUUGUUUUCAUCCUAAAUAUUAUGUCAAUUCCUAAUCUCAUAAACUGAUUAUAUGAUCUCUAAAUCAGCCCAUACAUAUUUUAUGAUGAAUCACAAUGUUCCUUCGUUUAUACAUCUUUUCUUUCGAAGAAUUUUUUUUAUGCCGUGAUUAUCUAAGGUUAUUAUUUUACCUUAGAUAAACAUUAAAUGUAAAAGUAUGGAGGGAAAAAUUAGGUUAAAAUUAGACCUGACAUUUUGCAUAAAUUAAAUCUAGGGUUAAUAUAGUAAAGUCACGCGAAAAAAUAGGUUAAAUCUAGGGUUAAUAUUGCGUCACGGGUUAAUAUUUAGAAAUAAGAGAUGACAUUUUGCAUAAAUUAAAUCUAGAGUUAAUAUAGUAAAGUCACACGAAAAAAUUAGGUUCAAUCUAGGGUUAAUAUUGCGUCACGAGUUAACAUUUAGAAAUAAGAGAUGUCAUUUGUUUAGUAAAAUUAAAGAGAAAAAUUAGGAGUGAUUUGUUUAUUUUGAUUUCCCUAACAAUUAACGUUAACAUUUUGAUUAAAUUAAACAGGGUUAAUUAAAUAGGGUUAAUAUAGUAAAAUUAAGCAAAGAAGUUAUUUAAAUCUAGGGUAAAAUUUUGCGUUUGGGUUAACUUUAAGAAAUAAAAUAGGUUAAAUAUAGCAAGACGGAUUAACAUUUAUAAGUAAGAGAUUAUGUUAAGUAUAGCGAGACGGGUUAACGGUUAUUCCUUAAAAAAAAAAACAGCAUAUAAUUGGGAACAUCAUUUUAUUUUACUUUAGAUAAACAUUAAAUGCAAAAGUGUGGAGGGAAAAAUUAGGUUAAAAUUAGAGAUGACAUUUUGCAUAAAUUAAAUCUAGGGUUAAUAUAGCAAAGUCACACGAAAAAAUAGGUUAAAUCUACAGUUAAUAUUGCAUCACGGAUUAACAUUUAAAAAUAAGAGAUGACAUUUUGCAUAAAUUAAAUCUAGGGUUAAUAUAAUUUGUUUAGUAAAAUUAAGGAGAAAAAUUAGGAGCGAUUUGUUUAUUUUGAUUUCCCUAACAAUAAACGUUAACAUUUUGAUUAAAUUAAAUAGAGUUAAUACAGUAAAAUUAAGCAAAGAAGUUAGGUUAAAUCUAGGGCAAAAUUUUGCGUUCGGGUUAACUUUAAGUAUUAAGAUAUUACAAUAGUUGUUAUGUUAUUUUUUAUGUAGUGCUUUAGGCUCUGUGUUGCAAAAUUUUGGUUUACGCAGCUUUGAUUUUCACAUUUAUAAAGGACAACAAUUUUCCGUAAUUUAUAAGAUUUCUCCUUCGGAGCUAAAUUUUUAAAAAAUACGUUAUUCAACCCGUGCGAAGCACGGGUUUGUAACUAAUUUAUGAAAUAAACGAAAAAGUUUUGAUUGAACAAAAAUUAAAAUUAAGUUGUCAAAUGCAAAAUGCAAUGAGCAAAAUUAAGAAAAAAGUUAUCAAAGAGGAAACUAAAAUAGAAAAAUAAUGCCUUAAAAGUUGACAUGAACGGCGAACCACUUAUGUGUGUACAUUCUAUAAUUUCCUUACCUUUUCAUUACCAUAUAAAGUUUUGAGCAUUACUACUUUUCCCAUUCUAUGCCUUUCCUCGCACGCUCUAUUUUUUUUUCAAAAUUACCCUCGAAGCAUUCCGGAUUAUAUAAUCCGGAAUGAUGUUUUGUAAAGGGUGAAAAAAUGAGUAACAGGUUUUUCCGGAUUUUGUAAUCCGGAAACUUCAAAAAAUAGGGCGCAUUACAUAAUCCGGAAACCCCCUAAACAUCCUUUUUCAAGGUAAAACAGUCCAGAUUAUAUAAUCCGAACUGUAUCAGCACAAAUUCUAAACAUGUUUGUAACAUGGAUAGUCAUUUUAGGGACAAUAUUAAUCUUCCUAACUCUCAUCCUUCUGUUUUGGGUCAUUGUUACAUGUUCUUAGUAAAAAAUCGGGUUUUUGGACUACUUGAUCGGAUUGCUCCGAAACUUCCACAGAAAAAAAAAAUCAAGGACCAUGACUCCCCUAGAAGGGACUUCUUACGGGACUCCGCCCCUCAAAAUCCAAAAUUCCAUCGUUUAGACCCAUUUUUAAUUUUUCAUAUUCUCAGAAAAAUCUGAGAAAAUUUGCAUUAGUUUUCCUUGAUUUUUAGAAUUUUUUGGUGCUAUUUUUAUAUUUUUAUGCUUUUAUUUGACAGGUUUUUAGCAUUUUUUCCUUAAUUUUUUUUUUUUUAUAAAAACAAAACUUAAAACUGCUGAAAUGUGAGAGUCUGAUGGCUGAUUAUACAUAAGAAUUGUCCGGAUUAUAAAAUCCGAAAUAGUAAACAUGAAUUCGGAUUUUAAAAUCCGGAAUGCACAAGGGCAUUUUUGAAAAUUUUACAGCGCGCGGGAGAAGGUCAUAGGGUGGAAAAAGUAAUAGUCUAAAGUUUUUUUAGGGGACUAUCAUAUAUAGUUGUUGAUACUUUUGGGCCAGAAAGGAAUAAAGGACGGGAGCAAUUUCUUCCCCCCACAUAUCCAAAAAUAAUCGCACGUUGUAUAUAUGAUAAGAUAAGAUAUAAUCGAAUGAUCUAUAAAACACUAAUGAAUGAGGGAUAAAAAUCAUAGAUAUAAGCAAGAUAAGAAGUACGAGUAUUCAUGAGAUAGAAGGUCAAAUAAAAACGUAGUAAAAAUGUAUAGAUUGAUAAAAGAGAAAUAAUAACUACAAGGAUGGUCUUAUUAAUAGACCUCAAUUACACCGACCCUAGUUACUAACUACCUUAACACUUAACCACCAAUUCUAAGUACCUUAACCAACUCCACCUAUCUUCUAACUAUUUAAUGAUUACAAGGUAUAGUUUUCUUCAUGGACAGUAUUUCUGUUUUCAAUGCACCUGCUUUAACACUAAUGUGUUGGCAUACCUUAUGUUUCUGUUUGCGAGUUUUGAGAGAGAUAAUGGUUUUUAGGAAGGAGCAACCGAAAGAAAAGAGAAUAUUGGGAAGGGAGAAUUUUGAGAGUUUAUUUUUCUUCAUAAUACAAAAUCAUCCUAAUUUGUAGGAACUUAAAAAUUGCACUCGAUGAAGGUUGUUAGGUGUUUUAAAAAGUUUACAUGACUUCUUCAAAUUUAAUAUAUUUUGUUUGAAUAUACUUAAAAUAAAAUAUAUAAUGAUCAUAAACAUUAAUUUAUCAUUUUUCAAAAAAAAUAUGAAUGAUUUCUCUAUUUUCUCAUAUAUUUCCCAUAAUUGAUAACUCUGCUAGUGUUUGGCAUACGACUCAAUCUAAACUAGAAGCAUGGAUAUAUGGAAAUCAAAUAAAAACAUAGGUUUCAAAUUUUUAAAUGUUUUUGGUUGAUUUAGGUGUGUUCCAUUUACUAUAUAAUAAAUACCGAAAAGACCAACACAAUGUAUAAUUAAAGCAAUUUUGUGACUUAUUAAAUAUUAAACUUUUAAAGUUGUUUAAUCUCAUUGCAUCUUGAAUCAACAAAUUGCAAUGAGACUAUACAACUUUGAAGCUUCAAUAUUUGACUAGCCCCAAAAUUGUUUUACACAUGCUCAUACCCAACAAUUUUAUGGUGUUAAAUAAUUUUUCAUCUUGAUAUUUGGUGAACAAAAUAUUAUUUUAUAUUUGUGGUAAAAAGUUGUGUCGUGGUUUAGUAAGCGACAAUAAUUUCAAUUUUUGUUGUAUGUUCUUUGUCCCAGAGUUUCUACAAUUCCAUUGGAGUGGUUGAGUACCUAAGUACUAUUAUUAAAAAAUUAUUAAAAAGUGAUGUGUCCAUGUGGGACACAUUUAAGACCUCAAAAUUGAGGGUCACCAAUGGAUGCUCUUAAGUGGGCACUACUUGAAUCACCGUCAAUUUAUUAAUGAAAAUAUUCUACUUUGCACUUUUGGUAAUCGAGAAUACAUAUCAUAUGUACUUGAAUAUAAAAGUACUUCAAUUAAAGUAUUAUUUUGUCUCUUUCAUUUAUUCAUUUUCAAGAGUUUCUCUUGUUCAUUGAUGGAGGUUCAAUAUUAUCUUUCCUGAGUGUAUGAUUCUUGUGUUUACGAUGACUGAUUUGACCAUCUAAAAAAAUAUGGGUUAUUAAAUUUAUCAUUAUAAUGGAAUUUUCUCAUUUAGAUAUUGGUUCAAAGACCAACAGAUCAUUUAUCAAAUAUAAAGAAUACCAACAUAACAAUUAACAUUCUAACGGUUAUCGUUAAAAGUAGUCGGUUAUUGUGGAAGAAUUGGAGUAUAAUAUAAAGGGCUUAAAUGCACUUUUGACCCUCUAUGUUUGCCAUCGUAGCAAUUUUGGCCCCAUAACAAAAACAAUGCAAUUUUAACCCCCUAAUUUUUCCAACUAUGUUGAGAAGCCGCCACGUGUCCCAUAAAAGGGGCCAUAAUCGCAACUUUUUUGCAAAGAUAAGGGACCAAAAGAGCAUAUUUCUCUAAACAUGGCAAAAAUAGGGGGCCAAAAUUGCAUUUUUUUGUUAGGGGGUCAAAAUUGCUACGACCACAAACAUAGGGAGUCAAAAGUGCUUUUAAGAUGUUAUUACAUAAAUAUCUGCGACAUGUUGCUGCAUGCGAAACACAUUAUGAACAAGUUGCAGUAGUAAUGGAACACAAAAUUAAUUUCAGAUUACAAAUCAAAUCUUUUGAUUAUUUUAUUCUUAAUUGAAAGAAGAAACACACCAAAUAGUAUAUAUUCCUAUAUUGGGUGAUUAAUUUAAGCAUUGAUGAACCUGCAGUUUUGCCGGAUCUGACCAUCAGAGCCAGUAAGUGGGCUAAGCAUACCCAUCUUGAGCAUUACAUUUGCAAAGUCCCUUUUAAAACUUUCAUUGUCUGUGGUAUAUGCUAUGACUUGAUUGCUAGUGGAUAAUCCAUUAAGCAGUUGUUGGUCAGAGUGUAGCAAACCCUUUUUACUCACCAAGUCGUUGUAGUAAGUAUUAUCAAAAUUAAUUGAGCUAUUGGAUAAAGUUGAUAUAUUGUUAUCACCACCAUUGAAGGGACACAAUAACCUCUUUGAUUCAGCAAAUGAAGGGUCUAUGUUUGUUUCGUUGUAAAUCCUUCCUCUGAAUGAAGUGCACCUUGCAUCCCCUAUUGUGUGAGCACCUGAACCAAAAAUUUCAUUUCUUAAUUAGUACUACGUACUGCUCCCAUGAAUUCAUGAACCCUAACUAAUUAAUAAUGUUUAUUGAAUUACCUGAUAAAGUAACCAUCUCUAGGGCAGUGAAAUUUUUCCUGGCGAAAGUGGCGAUAAGGCCAUCAAGGUUCAAGGAGGGAGCUGGAAUGUCAGAAUUUGAUGCAUCUAAGCUUGCUGUUGUUGAAUCUCUUCUGCCUAAUGGUACAUUCCAGCUUUGUCCGCCAAGCUAUAUACAUACAUACAUAAAUUAAUGCGUAUUACUAAUCUUAUCUUAAUUAUAUAAAUGAUGAAAUGAUAUAUAUAUAUACUUACAAGAACAACAGCAUCCCUAGCAGCAACGGUUAAGAUGUCAGCACAAGAGACAACAUUAGGACACAUUGUCUCCAAUGUAGAUUUGAUGUCGUCAAUUAACUCAAAACCUCUUAGCGAGUUUGCGUUUUGUAAAGAAUUCUUCUCACCUUUGAAACUUGACGUGUCGUCUAGCAAUACUGAUCCAUCACAUCCCUGCAUGCAAAUAAAUAGUAACACAUUAUAUGGUUAAUCACAUUUAAACAUAUGGUUUUGAACUUAUGAUUAACCAUAAUUUCACAAUUUUUCAAUGCGAUCUAUAGUAAUCAUAUAUUUGAAUUAAAUCAUGUACAAUUUUACAUUUCAUGAAUGUAGAAAAAGUUGAGUGUGCAUGAAACAUUUUUUAUAUAUAUAGAAAAAUGCUAUAUAUCACGACACGACAUGCUUUAUCCCGAGAGUGUAUUUACACUUUCUCUCUCCCGUUGACAUUUAUCUCUCCUCUAUGUAUUGUGCAAAACCAAAUAUUUUAAUUGGUCGAUAUGUUAUCCACGUCACUCUUGAAAGUUUCGUGAAGUAAAUUGUAGGGAAACUAAACAUAAUAAUGAUCAUAUGCAUGCUGCAAAUUAAGAAAUUAAUUAAUUACUUGAACAAAGCAGUCCUGAAAAUGGAGUCGAAGCAAGGAUGCUCCAAUGCGAGCCUCUCCUAACACAGCAUUUUGCACUGCUUGUUGAAUUGCAACAAGAGCAUUGGGACACGUAUUAUCAUAGUACAUUUCAUUGGUUAGCUGACCGACUGAGGUACUUAUCCCAAUCAGAAAUGUAAUAUUCAGUAGCAACCAACACUUGAUCAUGAGUUUGGAGCUUAAAGCCAUUGCAAAAUGGAAGAUAUAUAUUGUUUCUUUUAAUGGAGAAAAUAUAUAUUGUUGUGUACGUUGUAAUAUGGGUGUGAUUAUAGACCUUUAUAUAUAGAAGCCUUAGUAUGCAACAUAACAUUGUAAUUUCAUCCAUACCUUCAGCCUUCAGGUUCAGGGUCAACUAUCACAUGCAAACCUCUCAUAAAUAAACUAUCACAUGCAAAUACCACUCAUGCAAUUGCAAUUGAUUGAGAUAUGGAAUUCAUCAAUGUAUCAUUUUUUUUAUUCAUUGACAUGAUUAGUUGUAUCAUGUUAAUUAAACAGAACACUUCAAUUUCUCAUUUUUAUUUCUCUUUUAAUUGCUUCAUGUGUGAGUAAUUAAUCACUACGCGUGGUUUGGUUGGCGAGAAGUUUGGGUAGUAAGCAUGGACUCCUAAGUUCAAACUUCAUUGCCUCUGUUGUACACACAAAAAAAAUUGUUGAAUAUAUUAGAAAGAUAGUCUUUUGUUGGAUUAUAAAAAGUCUCCAAGUUAAUCAUCCAGAUAAAGGAACUUAAUUAGAAGGAUUUGAAUUUACUCAAAAAAAUAAAUUACCUUCAAAUAUAUUGUGUUUGGAUGAGAGAAUAUGGGUAAUAUAAUUUUUUUAGAGAAUAUUUUGAUAGUUCGUUUUCUUUUUCUAUUCUGUUGAUUUCUAACUCAGCUCAUACUUUUGAUAGAAAUUAGGCUAAACUUUCGCCCUCUAGGUUUUAAAAUGUUGCGAUUUUGGCCCCUAUUAAAAAAAUGACAAUUUUGGUCUCUUUCGUCUCAAAAUUGCUGAGAAGACGUCAUGUGUCCCAAAAAAUCAACUUAUCAUAUCUUGUUAGGGGCUAUAAUCGCAACUUUUUGAGAAGAUAAGUGGUCAAAAGAUCAUAUUUCACUUAUGUUAGGGGUCAAAAGAGCAUAUUUUCCUAAACAUUUGGUCACUUUUGCCAUUUUUUUAAUAGGGAUCAAAAUCACAACAUUUUGAAAUUUAGGGGACGAAAAAUGCAGUUUAGCCUAGAAAUUAUAACUACAUGUAGAUAGAUAUGAUAAGUUUUCUUGACCAAAAAAUAAGAUAUGAUACCGGUAAGUUUUAAAAUUAACAUAUCAUAUCUUGUUAUUUCAUCAAACAGUACAUUAAGGGUCAGUUUGUUUUAGAUUCUAAAAAAAUGGAUUUUCCUUUGUAUUUUUAAAAAUGGAUAUUUUUUUUUUUGAAUUUACUCAAAAAUAGUAAAAGUUAUUUCAAACUCAUUUGAUAUAAGUUAAAAAAGAGAUUUUGACAUUCACUAACUUAAAUAUUCAUUGUUUGAGAUUUUACAUAGUAAAAAUCACAUAUUUUUUCAAAAUGACAUCUUUCAAAAAUGAUUUUUAUGAAAAACUAUUUGAAAUAGUUUUUUUUAGAGAUUUAUUCAAAAUUUGAAAUAGUUUUUCUUUUUAGUUUUAAAAAAUCAUAACCAAAUGAUGAAAUACUUAGAAUGACCUUUUAAGAUAAAUUAUUCAAACAAAUUUUUUAUUUGAAGUUUUUCUUAAAAAUUUCUUUGUUAAAAAAAUUAUAACAAAAUCACAUUACAUUACUAAAAUUUAUUUUGAAAAAAGCUAUAACAAACGGGUCUUAAGGCAUACUCCCUCCGUCCCAUAAUAUAAGCAAAAAAAACUUAUUUUCUUUAUCCCAAAAUAUAAUCAAAAAAGACAAACUUUUAUUCUAUUUAAUCUUGUUUUUAAAAAAAAUCUCUUUUCCAAGAAAAACUUUUGUUUAUUCUUAUAAAAUUAAAUGCAAAUUACAUUCAAAUUUUUUUCUCUUUCAUUUUUUCAUAACCAAUGGCCAAAGAAAAUUGUUUUUACAUCUUCCUAUAAAACUUUUUUUAAAAAAAAUUAUAUUUUUUUGCUUAUAAUUUGAGACGGAAUGAGUAAUACAUGGAAUUAUCUCACGCGAGUUAAUUGAAGGAUAAAUGAAUAUGCUUUGGGAUUCGUGCAUGCAGUACUCCACAAUCAAGCAAAGUCGUCUAUCAACAUGCAAAGAGAAUCCAAUUAGCAAAUGAGCAGCCGGCUGCGGCUUCGUACCUUUAGAAAAAGUUUAAUAAUGUUCCUCAAAUAAAUCGUCUCAAUUAGAAUGGUUUGAAAAUAUGCAACUUGUCAUGUCAUUAAGAAGAUGCUAGUUUUUUAAUUGGGUACUAAAUUUUAAUAAUCGUAAAUUCAAAUCAUAUAUUGCUAAUUUACAUCCACCUAAAAAUAUUAAGGUGUAAAUUAGAAAGCUAUACCCACUUAUAUUUUACUAAAACACCAUUUUCUUUCUAUUCUGAUUAAAUUUUAAUAGAAUGACAAUUUUGUAACUAUCUUAAGAAAGAUCUUUAAAAAAAGAAAUGAAAAAGACAAUGACAUGCUUAAGGUACAAAUCAUGUAAUAGAGACAAACUUUUAAGGAAACAAUAUUUAGAAUGAUGAAAGUGGGUGUAAAUUAGUGAGGUGAGUGUAAGCAAUUUGAUAAAAGUUAUAAAAAUGGGUGUAUAUAAUCAAGUGGAUGUAGAUUGCUAACUUACCCCUUAGUGUUUUUAGGUGGUGUAAAUUAGCAGCCUUAUUUAUUUAUAUAUAUAUAUAUAUAUAUAUAUAUAUAUAUAUAUAUAUAUAUAUAUAUGUGCCACUCUACUUCCACCAGCUGAGAUCAAAACACGAAAGAAAGUAUUUAGUCUGUAUCUGAACCAUAGCUAUAUGCUGAAACCAUAAAAUGAGAUGACCGAGACGAUAGAACCGUAAUCGAUAGGAAAGAAAGUGAAGGUGAGAAAAACACAAGACGGGGGGGGGGGGGGGGGGGGGGGGGUUGAAUUGUGUUUUCUUUUUCUCUCUAAAAAAUUCUUCUUCUGAUAAAACUUCAGAAGCAGUUUGUGAGUGCUUCUGAUGAAAUGAUCAGAAUCAGAUAUGCAGCGGAAAAGAUCAAAGCAGAGAAAAGAAAAGCAAGACACAAACAGUUAUCCUGGUUCCUUCCACAAAUCGGAAGUAGUCCAGUCCCCCUUGCACUUCCAAGGAGAUUUCACUAUAAUCACAAAGAUUACAAAUGAUCAAUACUCUCUAAGUAUGAGACUUCUCAAAAAUGCUCAAGCACACACGCAAGAGUCUUCCAAUGCUCAAGCACUAAGCAAGAGGCUUCUAAUGCUCAAGCACGCAAGCAAGAGGCUUCUGAUCAAACAAAAAUACAAUGAAAUAAGUUUGACUUGAACACUUGAUAAACAAUCAGUGGUGUUCACAAUAUAAUACGUUAAAGACUCUAGACUUUUAAAUUUCUAAGAUGUAUCAAAUCAGUGCAGAAAUUCAGUGUGCUUUGUAGAAUCAAAUUGACAGAGUUUUGGCGCUUUUUAACUUGUAUAUCUCUCUUUCAAUCUUCAAGUCGUCACUCCUUUAUAUAGAGGUGUGAAAGAGACGUUGAGAUGAUUAGCACGUCUAAAGAGUCGUUUGAAAUCCUUUGAUCAUUCACCAGUAAUCUUUUGCCUGAUUUGGGUGUAGUCCUUUUAAGAAUUAGCUUUAAAUUCAUUCCCAUCUUGAAGGCACAAAUUCUGCAGGCAUAGCUGUUGUUUUGUCUUGUAGCGUAGACAGAACAGAGUAGUGGAGGUAGUGGUUGUACACUUGUACUUUGUCAACUCUGUUAACGAAGGACAAAUACUCAAUGCUAUCCAAAUGACCGUUGAUACCUCCCUUUCAAUUCUUCGUUCCUCUUAGAUAAGGUUGAAAUGAGAAACAGCUACUUUGAAUUUUCAGUUUGAAUUUACGGAUUAAAUGUAGCUUCUGGUGAUGAUAUUGCUUCUGAUGAAAACCUUGCUUCUGAUGAGCUUCUGCUUCUGAUGACGUCAUCACUUCAGAUGCACUUCAGCUUCAGGAGCACUUUAAGCUUCAGACGCAGUUUUCUUCAGAUGCUAUGAAUUCCUUUGCUUUCCAUUGUUCUUCCAAGACCUAUUGAAAUUACUUGACUAGCAUUUGGUCCUGUAUACUUGAACAAUUAUUAGUAAUAACCAAUUGACAAUUUUUAAUACCUUGUUAUCAUCAAAACUCAUUAAGGUUCAUUGUAAAACACAAUUUGUUCCAACAAUCUCCCCCUUUUUGAUGAUGACAAACAAUAGUAUUUAAAAUGUUCAAUUGUUGUUGAUUUAAUUAAUAAGUUGACUAUUGGGAUAGAUGUUUGUAAGCUCCCCCUGAGUCUAAUAGAUCUUUAAGGUGAGGUUUGUAAGCUCCCCCUGAGUUCUAUACUCAUUAAUUAAAUUUCAAUAAAAUACUCAUAGAAAAAUCAGAAGUAUUAAAAAAAAGGCUUAGAAGUGGUUCUGAGCAAAGCUCAUAUCAAAAAGUUAAUUUGAUGGGGCUCAGAGCCUUGAAAAUACUAUACAUCUACUCCCCCUUUUGUCAUCAACAAAAAGUAAGUAAAAACAAAAGAAAGAGUAUCAGAGCAACAGAAGGAUAAACUUUAAAGUACAGUGUAUUAGAGCCAAUGACACAACAAAUAUAGCAAUUAUUUUCAGAGCAACAACUUGAAAAUAGCAUGAGAAAUAUUGAAUUGAUUCAGAAGUAAUGAUAAACCAGUUAAAAUACAUAGUCAAAGCAAUUCAAUAUUUAAAACAAAAUCUAAACAUUCAAAAAUUGGUGUGCAACUAAGGUUUGGAUAGCUUAGACACUUGUUCCAAUAAGUAUUUGAUCUGCUCAGACUGCUUCUGAAGUUCUUCAUCCUUGGCUCUCAGUCUUCUUCUCAGCCCUUCUUGAAUUCUAUCAGCCCUUGAGAUGUAAACAGCUUCAGGAUAGAAAGGAGUGUUGGCUAACAGAAGCACAUAAUCAAGCUCUUUCACUCUAGCUGCUUCAUGCAUAUCAUCCAAUAUUUUCUUCAACAUAGCAGAGUGAGAUGAGACACAUUUUGUGCUCAGUUGAUCCAGCAGUACAUUGAAGCCUUUCUUCAGAUCCAUCCAUUGAUCAAGAUAGUGAAUGGGAGGUACAUGAACUGUUCUGAGAAGAAUCAGUGUCUGAAUCUCAUCACUUAACCUUAUAAGCUGUUCAUUAAUAUAUUCAGAUUCCAAGAUGAUGUCUGGGAUGGGUGUUUGAGAUGUAGAAGGUUGAUUAGAGGCUGUUUGAUGUUCAGAAGUGGUUAAGUCAAUUGUUGGUAUUUCUGGUUGUUGUUGUUGUUCUGAGUUAGGCUGGGGUUGUUCUGUAGUAGUUUGUUCUAGGUCAGAAACAACCUGUUCAGGAACAGUUGGUUCAGGAACAGUUUGCUCAGGGAUGAUUGUUUCAGUUUGUGUGGUUGUUUGUUGGUUUUCCAAAACAGUCUUUUCAGGGACUGUCUUAGAGGCCUUUGUGGGUGUAGGUUGCAUUUCACCACCUAAAUGCUUUUCUAAAUUGUGAAGGGUUGAUGAUUCUUGGUGUUGGGGGAUUUCUGAAGUAGUUGCUUCUGAAACUACUUUAGAGGCUUUUUGUGGGGAUUGGUUAUUUUGUGGGUUGGUUUCAGGGAAUUGUAUACUAACAGCUUCUGGAAUAGGUCGUUGAAAGAAGUGAUCAGCAGACAAAUUGAGUUUUUCACAGAUUUUUAUCCUCUGUUUAGAGAAUUCAAUUUGGGUCUGCUCAUAAUCAAUAGUUCCAUAGGUUGUUAGUUUGGUAGGUUUGCGAUUUAGAAGUUUUUCAAUGUGCUGACUUAGAGGUUGAUCAUCUGAUUCAGUGGAUGAUGAUGAGGGUGAAGAUGGAAGGUCAGGAAUCUGAGUAUUGACAUUAGCUUUUAAGGAAGUACCUGAAGAGUGAGCUUCUAGAUGAGCUGCUUCUGGAGCUUUAGAUGCUGGUUCUGAUGAAGUAGCUCCUGAAGCAUGCUUAUCUUUCAAAGCUUGAGAUAACAAUUUUACUCCUUCCUGGACAGUUUCUUGUUCAACUUCAGCAGCUAAAGCAACAAGCUCAGCAGCCUUGAGUUGUUCCUCCCUUUUCUUCUGCUGUCUCAACUGCUUCCUCCUAGCCAACUCAGUAGUAGUAUAAUUUCUAGCAUAUUGCCAUUGUUCUUCUAUAGGAACAAACAUUGGCAUUACACUAGGUUUAUUACUCUUAGCCUUCUUAGCACUUGGCUCUUCUUCCAAAGCUCCUAACUGUUCAACAUGUUCCUCCGUGCUUCCUUCAGAAGUCUUCAGAUUUCUUGUUCUUUUGUUUUUCUGCUUCUGAACAUCUUCUUCAGAAGCAGAGACAAUUGUUUGGAUUUCUUGGGCUUUUGUGCUGCAACCUCAAUCUUGGUUUCUUUUCUGGUCCUCUUGGAAGGUUUCCUUUUAGCCUCUUCUUCUUCCAAGUACUCUUCUUUUGAAAGGGGCCUGCUCUUUGAUUUCCUGCUCUUGGCAACAGGAUGAACACCUCCAAACAUCUGUUCAGGUACAUCUUUCAGGCUGAUCUUCUCCCUUGUCCUUUCAAAAUGUUCUCUGAUAAAGUUCAUCUGAACAUCCAGAGGAUCUUGCUUACAGAUGGGGGGAAAAUUUGGAAUCAAUGCUGAUUUGGCAUCAGAUGCCUUCAAAUAUGUGGGUAGUUUCUUAAGAUCUUUUACAUCAAUCAGAUGCAUGGACCUCAGAGUUUCAGCAUUCAUAAUCUUUCCUCUAACAGUUCCCAACUGUUCAUCUGUGAAGAAUUCUGCCUCCUUCAGCAUCUUGAUGAUACCUCCUUGAUGAAAAAUCUCAGAGAGUAGCCUCCCACAAGGUACCCAGCACCUAUUCUUCAACUGGCUCUCUCUAAGCACAUUUGCCUUUACACCAGUUAUGAAAAAGUGUAAGAGGAUUUUGUGUUCCAGAGAUGGUUGAUCACUACCACCACCUUUUGGUAGUAGGUUGUCAUUUUGAAUUUUCAGCAUCACUUUGGUCUUGGCAUUUAUAUCUGCAUAGGUAAAGUUCUUGACCUUGUUGUAGAGAGUUUUAUUCACAAUAUCAUUCCAGGGGCUAUCCUUGGGCUUAGUGAUUCCAGCCUUAUAAUCUCCUUCUGCUGGUCUUCUGAGGACGAAAGCAAUCACAUCCUCAUUGAUCCAUACAGGAAUCCCCAUGAUGCUUGAUCGUAUCUGAGUUUUAGUAAAUGGUUCCAAGCCCAUUUCCUGUCUGGAUUUUCCCUUGAGUUCUGGAUUGAGAAGAACUUUUUCAUCUUCUUCCAUCUUAGCAGCAUCUCUAUCAAAGAUACUGGCUCUAACCCAGAAAUGUCGUAUCAAAGUUUGAUAAGUUGGACCGUUCAGAAAAUUGAAGUAGCUUCCCAAGCCUUGCGCUUCGUAGAAACUUCCAAUAUCACAGUUGUGAGCGGCCAAAGAAUUAAAAUCCACUGGAUUUUCUGAUUGAAUCUUCAAAUCCCAUUCUUCCAAGGACAUGGUUCUUCCUUUAAUCACGUAGGCAGGAGCCUCUUCUUGUUGCAUGUUUGAUGAUGAACCAGGUGCAGAACUUGAAGAAGCCAUAAGAUUGAUUGAAGAAGAAAAGGGUUUCUAGGGUUUUUGGAGUUUCUUAGCAGAGAAGGUUUGAAGUGAAAUGAGAGUGUGAGUUGUGAAGUGAGUAGUGUGUGUUUGUUUAAGUGUUUUUAUAAAAAAAACGUUUGCAAUUCAAAUGAGACAAACAAACAUAGCAUUAAUGACAAAUUGGGGGCGCGUGUUAGUAUGUUUAAAAGCAAAUAAAACAUCAUUGCCCUUUUUGUUAUACUCCAGUACAAAUAGACCACGUCAGAAACUUUUCAAAAAACUAACCUUUGGGUAAUGGGACAGCUGUUACAAAAAGUAACUGCAAACGAUCCCACUAGCCAUGCUAUUCAGAAGCAAAGAAUACCGCUUCUGAAGUUUUAGUGCUGACGUCAUCUUCAGAAGCACAUUUUCCUCAGAACCUCAGUUAAGAGCUUCUGAUGGACCAGAUGCUUCUGAAUGGACUUCAGAACCAAACUUCUUAUUCAGAGGCAAACAAAUUUUCAAUCAGACACAAAGUGUAUGUUCAAAUUUUUCUUAAUAAAAUCAAAUCUUUCAACAGAUAAAGGUUUUGUAAAUAUAUCAGCCCAUUGAUGUUCAGUAUCAAUGAAUUGUAUAUCUAAAAUUCCUUUUUGAACAUAGUCUCUGAUAAAAUGGUGUUUGAUCUCAAUAUGCUUGGCUCUAGAAUGUAGAAUUGGAUUCUUAGACAAACAAAUAGCAGCAGUAUUAUCACAAAAGAUGGGAAUACUGUUAGCAUUAAUCUGAUAAUCUUCCAACUGAUGUUUCAUCCAAAGUAGUUGUGUACAACAACUUGCAGCUGAAAUGUAUUCUGCUUCUGCUGUAGACAUAGCAAUAGUUGCUUGUCUUUUGCUUGCCCAGGAUAUCAGAUUCUCUCCCAGGAAUUGACAAUUUCCACUGGUUGAUUUUCUUUCAAUCCUGUCACCAGCAUAAUCAGCAUCACAGAAUCCAAUCAACUUAUAAUCUAGGGAUUUCCUAUACAGGAGUCCAAGAUUAGUUGUUCCUUUCAGAUACCUGAAGAUUUUCUUAACUGCAGUUAAAUGAGAUUCUCUAGGAUCUGAUUGAAAUCUUGCACACAAGCAUACACUGAAUAAAAUAUCAGGUCUAGAUGCAGUGAGGUAUAACAGAGAACCAAUCAUACCUCUGUAUAGCUUCUAGUCUACUACAGUUCCAGUAUCUUCUUUGCUUAAGGUGGAGGUUGGAUGCAUUAGAGUGUUCAUCACUUUACAAUCUUCUAGCUUGAACUUCUUCAGAAGCUCCUUUGUAUAUUUUGUUUGAUGAACAUAUACUCCUUCUUUACUUUUGUUGAUUUGAAUUCCAAGAAAGAAUUUCAAUUCUCCCAUCAUGCUCAUUUCAAAU